ACACUGGUAAACAGUUCUCCUUAGCUUUCUGCAUAAGAACUCAAGAAAUUGUCUACAAAUUUCAAUCUAUAAGCCAAACUAGUAGAUGGAUGAUGUUCAUGCAAUAAGAAUGGAACAUUCAAAAACAUGGAAUCCACAGGCAGAAUAAGAUCACUAAUUGUCAUACCAUAUGACAUAGCAAACAUGUUCAAACACAAACUACAUAGCUGCAACUAUACAUUCCACAGUAUGGAAUCAUAGAAGCUUAGUAAGCAGAAGAGCACAAAUAAUACAAGCAUACCCAAUGUUCUUCAUAAAUACGAGUCAUAGCAGCAAAAGUAGCAGCAGAUCACUGCUCACUUCGUAAUUAGUCCCACAUGGCCCUGAACCAAUUCAACCAUCCACGCUGCUCCUUCCUCCCCAUCCUCCUCCCAAAUUUGAGCUCCUUCUUGCCCAUCUCCAUCUCCUCCUCAUCAUCGGAGUCCGAAUCCGAGUCCUCCUCGUCGGCCCUCUUCUUCUUGUGCUCCUUGUUCUUUCUCGUCCUCCUCCUCUCCCCUUCCCACUCCGUCGCCAAAGGCCACUCCAUCCGGCCCUCCCUGCCCUCGGCCUCAGAUCCGGCGUCCACUUCGCCGCCCUUGGGGAGCGGGAUCAUGUCGUUUCCGUAGGGGACGAUCCUGACGCCGUGGAACCGGUGGCCGUGGCGGUCGUGGUGGUGGUGGUGGCAGCGGUGGCGGCGGAAGUGGUGGUGCACGGGGCGGCGAAGAGAGAGGUCAACGUGGUCGAAUCCCUCGACGAAUUCGGGGAUGGGAUGCUCCGACGUUAUCUUCUCGAUCGAGGCGGUUAGGGUUGUCAGGUCCGCAUCCUCGGCCGGGACCAGUUCGGCGGUCGUCGGAUCGAAGUCCUCCGGCACCUCACGGAAGUCGACGGCCGUGGUCGCGUCGGGGGCGAGGGGGACGCGGGUGGCGUGGGAGAGAAGGAAGAGGAGGGAGAAGACGACGGAGAGGAUGACGGAGAUCUUGACGGAAACCAUGGAUUCGGGUAACGGCGGUCAAUUCUAAGAAAUGUGCGUUUGUGGGACGCUCUGCAUCCGUUAUUUAUAGAUGAAGGCAACGGAGUGACCGGUCAACCUCGAUGGUAAGAAUAAAACCACUCAUUUUUAAUACUUUUAAUUUGUUUUUCUUAAAUAUUCUUUAAGUUUGAUUUAUAGAUGAUAAUUAUCAUAUAAAUAGUUAUAGUUCCCAGAAAAUGCUUUUGCUUUUUAUAAAAUAAAGCAUCUUAAAUAGUAUCUUAAAUUAAACAAUUAAUUUUCUUAAAUAGUAUCUUUAAUUAAAAAAUAUAUUAACUAUCUUUCAAAAAUUUUCUAGUGUUUUAACCUGUUAUAAUAUUUUGAUCAUCAAAAUAAAAACAUUAUAAGACUUACACAGUAAAAGUAUUGUAAGAUCAAUUCAAAAAUAUUAUAAAUAAUCUACAUGAACGUUUAACCUUAAUCAAAUUAAUUAUAAAUAUAAAAAUAUAAUAUUAUAAUAAUCUAUGAGCAAUAACAAUCAACAAUAUGAUAUCACUUAUAAUAUUUUUAAUAUCUUAAUAAAUCACUAUAACGUCAUUGGAAAACAUGGUAAAGAAGUCAAAUGAAAAUAUUCUAAUAGUUAAAAACUGAUUAAAAAUAUACAAAAAUGUUUGAUACAAUUUUUUUAGGGAUAUUUUAGGUUUUUUAAAAUUAGAGAUACUGUUUGAAAAAAAGAGAAAUUUUUUUCAAAAAAAAUAUAUAAAAUAUGAAAACUCGAGGAUUAAGUAUUUAGAUAUCUUUUUCCCGACAUCAACUGAAUUAAACUAGCAAAAAGAAUAUAAUAUAUCAGAGAGCAUAUAAAUACAUUGCUUGUUUCCUAUUUUAAAUUUUACAGCCUGGCACCACACAACUAUUAUAGUCUUAGAAUUUACGUGUAUUCGGUGCAGGUUAAACGUGGAAAGUCGUCUGAAUCAAUUAGUUUAAUUACGACCUGCUUCACUUUCUCUGGACUGCACAACACGCGGACGAUUUAGUCAAACGAUUACGCACACGCUGCUGUCAUUGAUUGCAACAACACACCAAUAUAAUCUUCGUUCCUUCAAUCAUGUUGCAUUGCUUAACAACGAAGGAGCCUCAGUCAAUUGUAUCUCCAAAUUGACCACUGCAGCUGUUCGUGGACUUCGUCCCUAAAGGACAACAUGUGGGAAAGAUCGAGAAGACAAGAAGGUCGGAAGAGGAGAUGGAGAGGAAGAGGUCGGUCACGGGUAGGAUUCUAGGAGAUAGAAAACUAUUAACAGGAAAUGGAUAAAAAGAGGGAAAAGAUAUAAAUAAAAUAAUUAUAUUAUAUGUGGGUUAACAAUUGUGAUUUAUAUUAGUUAUGAUUGAAUAACUUGGUACUUUGGAGGAUUUGGAUUUGGAUUUGGAUGAUAUAAGAUAGGAAAAUUAUGGCUUCUCCCUAAAUAUUUCUUUUUCAUACAUUUUCUAUUUUCACAUAAAAUUUCUGGCACCUCCGCUUUCCGUUGAUCCUAUACGACAAAGGUCCGAUGGGCUUUCCCUUUAGCCCAAUGCAGGUCCCUAACUCGACUUCCGCCCGCUCACCCUUCACUCGAUUCUCUGCCCUCGCUUUCGCCUAAUCCCUAAUCGAGUCACUCUUCGGCUCCGACAUGGUCGAUGGUGCCAAUGCCCUCCUCGCUGAUUCCUUCGCGGAAACCUCAACUUUCCCACGGACCCGUUUCUUCGGUCUCCUCCUCUCUCUCUACCCUGUCAAAUCCGAUGAUUCUUUGCCGCCGCAUCCUUUCGCUACUCCAUUCGGUGACCCUCAGAAUUCUGAUGAAUUGCCACUGCAAGUCGGGCCGCUUGGACGUCGCACACCAAGUGUUCGAUCAUACGAUAUAUGGUUAUUGAACUCCACGUGAUCCCUUGCAAUGUAUUAAUCCAAUUCUUCAGAAGGAAAGGACGGAUCUUUGAUGCAUUCAACGGUCUACGUGAGACGCGGAAGAGCAGGCCGAAUCGGCGGGCAUACGCAAUUGCAGACGAUGCGGAAGACGGUUCUUUUAACGUGACUCGUUUGCGAAUUAGGUUGGUUCCGAGUGCGAUCGCUUGUAAUUAUGGUUUCGAUGGGCUUGAUAAAGAAGGAAAGGUGCAAGCUUCGAGGGUUCAAGUUGGAAAACAGGGGAAAUGUGGUAUCAUAAGCUGGUUUUACCAGUAAAAGAAAGAUUGAAGAUGCAAAGUAUGGUUUUUGUCGAUAUGUCUGACAAGGGGUUAUGUCCGGAUGCUACGACAUACGCAGGCAAAUUUAAUAAUUUAUUCUAUUGUCUCGCAGGUGUUUUGCAUAGAGUUGAGAUUGAGGAAUAAUUUUGGUGCUUCACGAAUUUUUUUCUAACUGCUGUUGUGCAUCUACUGGUAAUUCCUCUUAUUCUCAAAUAUGUUUGUCAGUUUGUUCAACUUGCCAUUCUCAGAACACAAGAAACAACCAAAACAAAUUAGAAAAGGUUUCAUCAUGAGAAAUGCUGACGCAAUGUGGAUCUUAAGCUACAGUUUUGAGGAGAAAUUAAUUCAAAAUAUGAAGUUAGAAAAUAUGAAGUUGUGCUACCUAAGACUUCAAAGCUGAUGACGCUGGUAAUAAACUUCAUGGUGCUAUCAAGGAUAUAGUGGCUUGGUCUAGUGAACUUUGAAACUCUGAUUAUUUGAUCUAAACUUUGGUAUCAGUGCUUUUUUACAUUCACAUUGUUUGUUAAAAUUUUUGUUGCAUUCAUGUAUCUAUUUAGGCUUUAUUAGUUUGCGUUUUCUUUUCUUGUAUGCAUUUUGGGGAAAAUGAGUUAUGAGGGUCACCUCACAUACAUGGGAGGCAGAAGGUUCUCAAAAAUCUGAGAAUUAGUUUCUAGAUUUUUUUAUGAAUUACUUUCCAAUCUUCUUUUCCUUUUGUUGUUGUCGUUACUGUCGGAUGUGAGUUUCUUUUAGUUUGUUUCAGUAUUCUUGUGUAAUUUUUCCAUGCUGAUAGAUGUAUAAUGAUGGUAUGUCUCAUCAGUGAUGAUUGUGGUACUAAGGAAGCAGAACUUGUAUGUCUGUUGUAGCAAUUCACCUUUAUCUUAUGAUGCCAUGAAGGUUUCAUACAUCAUAUUGAACUUUUUGAUCACAUCUGUUUUUGUAAAUGUUUCGUUCUGCUUGUUUUACAUAUUUGGGAAUCUAGGUAAAAAGGAUAUUUAUGUACUUGCCAUAAUACUUGUAAAUUGCAUUUGCUUUGUUUUUGUCGAACAUCUUCUGUGCAUUCAUGUGGUGACUAUUUAUUUGUCUGAAAACUAUCCUUCCACCCAGUUGUGCUAGACAAUAUUUCUUUAUGAGCAAACCCACACUGCUUUCGUGCAGGGCACUAGGUUCUAACUUUGACCUUGCAGAGUAUAGCUUCUGACAAUGGCUUUAUCAUGACGGAGCUGCAUGUUGAGAUUAGUAAUGUGUCCACCAUAGUGGUUGCUACAUUGACUGCAUUUCCACAUUCCAGACAGUAGAAUUUGCUACUGGAGAUUGUGGUGACACUCUCUGCACAAUAAUAAAGUAAAAGCUUUUGAUGUAUUUGUGCCAGUACAUUCUAGUGUGCAUGUGCAUUUGAAGCACGUCUGUUUGUACAAUGCAAAUAUAUGCAAAUGCUACUUGUGUAAUUCAUUAGCUUUAGGUUUAUAAAUGUAGCACAAUCAUGAUCAAUGUUUUAUUUUAGUCUUUGACAAUAUGCAGAAUUGAGACUUGUAGUUACAUGAGAUAAUAUCAAAGGUGUGGUUGUUUAUCCUCCUCAACAUAACUCAUUGCUAAAUAGCUCCUCUUGUUUUCUCUUGCACUAAUAAUAACUUACAUGAUGUAAAUUGCAAACUCAUGAGUAUUUUCACAUUUUCUCGCUGGCAUAGUCUUAUUAUUUUGAUAUAUAUUGAUCCUCAACAAGUAUAGCAAUAUUAGUCUUUAGUUUUGAACUUAUUUCUGAUUGUCUUGCAGUUCUUUGUUCACCUAAGUGGUAUUGUGAAAUAAUAGGAUUGGUUCUUGCCAUGUUCUUCUGCAUACAACCAUAUAUUUGAUCACUUCAUAUCUGUCUGAACUAAUUUGCUUCUCUAAAUAAGCUGCAAUUCAAGUGUAAAUUUAAUUUUGACUCGGAACCACCAAAACUACCUGGUUCUCAUUAGAGAGACUUAACACAAUCAAACUUGUAGAAGCACAAGGACAAGGCAUCUCUACAGUCUUUUAGAUAAUAAAGCUUGAAUAUAAGUACUUGAACUAAUCUAAGUCAAAUCAAAUCUAACUUAUAAAAGCACAAGGAAAUAACAUCUCUAGAGAUUUUGGUAGAUGAUAAAAGCUUGUCUCUAGUUACUUGAAAUUAAGUAUUCAAAAAUCUAUUAGUCACCUAUAUGAUGAAAACAAAGAGAUGCUACUAACUUCAUUCCAGUUGUUUGUUUCAUUUUCUUGUGUCUUCUUAUCCUUGGUGUUUGUAUUUUCUUAACAAACCCAAUGAAUUUUCUUUAGAAGAAAAUUUUCAAUGUAGUAUCAUGAUUUCAACUUUCAUGCCCAGUAAAAUUUUGACACAUCCUAUGUGCAUGCUACAGAUAUGACUAUGUUUCAUCUAACACGUCCAGAGAUAUACAUAUUUGUAUAGCCCCACACGCUUAUUCAACUCUUAGCUCCUAGUGGUCUCUGAUACAGAUCCAUUCCUGUUUCUAGACUGCUGGUUCAUGUAGCUAUAUUCAUAAUGAUUGUGAUACCAAUGUAGCAGGGUUUGCUUCCCACUGUCUUGGCAAUAACCAGUUAACCACUAGUCUUUUUUUCACUUUAUUUUGCCACAUAUUUCUUUCAUCAUCUUAUAUGAGAAAGUUACUGUUAUCAACUGUAGUCAGAGAACCAACAUAUUUUCAUUGGUGAAAAACUUGUACUGAAGAAUGUGCUAGAACAAAAACCUGGAAUCUUACAUGUAAGAUCAUGUCAUCCAGAUCAAUAGUAUCUCCAUUGUCUUUCACAGUCUACAAGGGACUCUUAACUUGUGUCUCCCUUCAGGGCAGUGGGGACUCUCAAACACCAGGAGACCCCAGCUUAUUGGUGACUACUGUUUACUACUAUGCAUGGACAAACUGGGCAAACAAUAAAAGUAUCUGAUCUUCCCAAGUUAUUUAUUAGUAGAACUACCCAAUACUUAGUCCAGUGUCAUCAGCUCAUUGCUGGUGGUUGACUUUCUUCUCUCUGGGUUGCAAGUGGAUGAAUGAUGAAACUGGCAAGGCUGUUUGCACUUCUACUGUUUCGGUUUGGUUUAUUCCAGAGAAUCACAUCCAGGGAUGAGAUUAUUAAACUUGCUUAUCUUGCUAACUCUGCUUGAACUUAUGGAAAGUGUACUCAUGGCAUCUUUGCAUUGCCAGCAUUGUUGGUUUACAAUUAGCAACUACAGCAUGAUGCAUAUUGGUCAACCAUAAGGAUCAUCUUAUGUGUGUGCACUGCAGAUACUUUUAUCUGGAUAUCUGACCACUGAGCAUUUGCUGCUGUUUCUGAGACUAAUGCACCACUACAAAUGCUUCAUCAUCUGUAGUUGUACACCUUCUUGUGCAAUUCAUAUAUCACCUAUUCAAACACUCGAGUGAUGGGCAAGUUAUCUACUCUCUCAAGUGAUGGAAUAAGCUAUUUGAUGACCAGUUCAGUGCAAGUAAACUGGACACCAGCUUCUGACAUUUGCUUAUUAAUGGUCACUGAGUUUAAGGGCUGAGUACAUGACUUCCCUUGUUCCCUGAGGAUUGUACAAAGGACAGAUAUUACUAGUAAACUGCCUUGAGUCAACUGUAGGUAUUACAGUAUUGCUGUUUAGGUAAUGUGCAGUUUUUGUUAUUAGAAAACUGCUAGUGGUCAAAGCAUCUCUCAUAUUCCCAAUAGCUUUGCUCCAAAAGAUAAUCUGAUCUGAGUCUCAAAAACAUUAGCCACAAGAUGAGUUUUUUUUUUAUUUAAAUCAUGUUAGACUUUUUGGGCUUCCAUACAAAAUAAAAGCUUUCCAAAGUCAAACUAUGAAAACCACAUAGAGCCUGACUUCAAAAACAGAGUCUCAUGAAAUUUCCUGGCAGCUCUGGACUGAGUUUACUACACUAGUAUUUGGUACAGUCAACUGUAUUAUUCAUUCCAAGCUUGAAGACGCAUCUCCUGCAGUCAAGCAAGCUCUUGGUUCUUCUCAACCACUCUCACCUCCUUUGCAGAUCUGAGAAUGGCUGCCUGAAGGAAGGAGGACAUCAAAAGACAACAUGGCAUUUCCAUCAGGGGUGACACAAAACAUCUUAAAUCCAAGAAGGAAUACCUGCUUUUUGGUUAUCUCCACUGAGAAGCCAUCAACAAUUGCCAGAGAGGACUUCUUCCUGUAGGAGUUUGGUGGGAGAAGCUUUGCCAGUAGCUGGUCAUGCUUGUGACUCAGGUAAGUGUCGAGCUCCUCCACGCCUUCCUUUGACCUGAGCCAUCCCCACAGAGAGACCUUGAGAGAACAGAGGAGGGAGGAAGGAAGAAGGAAGGCAAAUGCCACUGCUGAAAAGAAAUGAGGGGUUGGGAAGAUGCAACAAGACACACCGAUCUGCACGCAGACUCUCGUACUCUGGAUCAAAGUUCAUGAAGACAAAGUAGAGCUCAGUGUUCUGAUCUCCCAUUGCCACCAGAUACUCUCUGCUUCCCUGGUACCUUUCUUGUGGAGGUCACCCAACACAUGAAGUGAGGGUGCUGGUAUCCUUGCAUGGUCUAUUUAUACUGACAUGGAGCAGCAAGACUGACUAUUCACAAACUUGAACAAGUCUUCUUCCUCCACUGACCUGCACUCUUCUAUAAUAUUAUUUCCUAUUGUACUGCCGACGACUAAUUAAUUAAAAGCUGCAUAAACUCCAUUAUUGAUCAUUUUUUGCAGGGAGAAAUUUAGUAAUCAUGGCACUUCAUGAGGUAAUGUAGUAAUAUUUAGUGUAUGUAUGUUGUCUUGUGGUGCAGGAUAGUUGACACCAUCAAAGAGAUAUGGGAUUGGAUUGGAUUUGAUUUGUUGCUGGCGAAAAAAGCCCAUAGGAAUUUUGAGUAUUGAGAUUUAGUUCAGUGAGUUGUUCAAUCAUAUACCAGGAUUGUUGUAUAUAAGAUUUGUUCAAUCAUAAUGAGAAAAAUAUUUAUUCAUUUCUUUCUCUCAUUAUAUUUUGAAGUGAGAGUGAGUUUAUUCGAGCUCAAUAAUUAUUGUCUUUCUCAUAAGACAAUUAAGACGUGCACAUCACAUAUAAAAGAUGUAUUCAUUUGGUAGGACAUAUCAACACUUUAAAUGUUUCUUUUCACACAUGGGAGAUGUUUCAUUUGUCCUAUAUGAAUGCAUUAUGUGUAAAGGGAUGAUACUUUGGCUACGAAUGUUUCAUAUGUUUUUUUUUUAGACAAAUGUAUCACGCAUAAAAUGAAUAUAUUGAUGUUAUGUAAGACACUUAUGAUGUUUCUCAGUUACAUUAUGUACUUUCUGAUUUUUUUUUUGUAUUGUUGGAUAUACCAUGUGCAAAGAUGAUAUUUUUUCGGCAUCAAAUAUCAUGAUUUCUUUCUUUUUCGUUGAAAUGAGGUUUUUAUGCUAUUUUGCUUUCUAAAAUAGGUCGGAGAAAUUUAUUGAAAGCUUUUAUGUGACUUAAGGUCAUUAAGGAAGUUAAUCAUCGAGAGAAGUAUGGGUUGGUCAUCUAUCAUAUUUUAUUAUUGUUGAAUCUCAUCAUGUAGUCGACUCAAGGUUUAUUCUUGUCUUUAUUGAAACGAUCAACAAGAUUAUUGUAAGCUUCUUCCGAUAUUGAUUACAGACAAAGAAAACUAAAGUAUUAUUCUUUUAUAUUUUCCUAUAAACUAGUCAGUUAAAAUGUCUAUACAAAUAAAAUAUCAAAGAACUUAGAUAAUUUAUUCUAUGGGGUUAAUGCUUUCAUCAAGUCCUAAGAUUGAACAAACAAAAAUUGAAGGAAAUAAAUUUACUAUAUCCUCUAGUUUAGAUAGGUGUAAGGAGAUUGAUUUUGGAGAUUCACUUGGUCGGUGUCCUUAUAAGUCGAAUCUCGUGCUUAUUCUAUUCUUAUAGUCGAUCCAUUAGGAGGGAGCAUUUAAUCCGGUUUUAACGGAUUUGGGAACCUAUACUCGACUUCCUUAAACCAUAUUCGGAUAUUCUUUAACCUGAUGACAAAUGCCAAAUUGGGUGUGCGCAGUUUUGUCCAUUUUGGGGUUGAAAAUUCGAAUGGGGAAGCUGACAAAUUUGACAUAACGUUCAUUUGGACUGCCUAAAUCCCUUACGCGGCUCCCUGUGAUUGGCUCGCGUGAUCUAACACAGAUACGGUGUGCCGUUCUUGUACUCGGAGGACUUCUCUGGUGCAGCGUUUCUAAUGGGUCCAAAAUUGCUGCAUGGCUCCUUCCAAGCUUCGACCACGUACUCGCCAAUGAUGGAUGGAGGAGGGCGGGGGGUGUGGAAGUAACUCAUGAAUCACGUGACUACAUGCAAGUAUCAGAAUCCUCUGAUCAGCAUUAUGAGAUCUCCCCGGCUUCGUUUGUCAGAAAACUACAGGCUGCUUGUGAACCCUUCUUCUGAGGUGGUGGAAUCAUGCUCAGUUAUCUUUCUGAGAAGAUCUGCAAUCACUUGGACUGUUCAUUGUUUCAAAUGAUUUUAGAUGCUACAUCGAAUGGCUUCUUGCUGAAAGCAGAUUCAUAUAGUCGACAGCUUAAUCAGCAAGCUGAAGGUUUUCUGCAGCCUGCAGUAAAAGUCUAUUCACCAAACUCCACUGAGCACCAUGCUUUCCUCACUGUGUCAAUAGAUCUUGGUCUACAAAGGGAGAUUUGGCAAGCAAGUCAAAGCUAAGGGAAUGGAUGGUGUUCUUGCAGUCCAAAUUCCAAAGCUAGCAUAUUGACCAAUCAACACCUCAAAGUCCACUGACCUCUAUCUUUAACUUGUGAUUCUUAACCUAAUGACCACCUCAUCAGGCAAGUUCCUGAGUCCACACACCACUAACCAGGAGAGAUGACUAGCAGGCAAUAAUAUUGAUUGAACUCCAUGUUUCAUCUCAUUUUGCUGAGGAAUUCUUCAAACAUAUCAGUGUUUGCCUUUCUCACUGAUGCAUGAGAUGAGUCAAACUAAGCAGCUCUUUCAGAACAUGAUGAGCUUGAACUCUGGCACAAGUAUGUCUGUGCUUUAAGUUGUAGUGAGAUACUUAAUGAAACAGAGUUGUUGUCACAGAGUAAUCUUUAGAUGUAGGGGGUAGAUUAAGAUGGGGAAAGUGCCAUGGUGUGCAAGCACAUGGGCCUUGCAGAUGGAGUCAACAGCACACACAUGUCCAUGCAGCCUCAGGUCAACAAACUUGACCAUGCCCACAAGAGGAGGGAAAGAUCCAAGGUAGCAAUCAUAGGAUAUAUCAUUGUUUCAACCACAAGCAAGAAAUAUGAGUGCUCCACUGCCUAACACUGCUAGAACAAAUCAUUGUCCUUGUGAAUCUAAGAGUGUGGUGUGGAUAGUUGGACAUCCUCAGCCUUUGCCUGAUGAAGAGCAACAUGCACAAGUUGUCUUGCAUCUGCAUCUGCAUCUGUGAGAUGAACCAACUCCAUACACUUGAUGCUCUGGCUCCCAAUGACUUUGCUACUCUGAUUUCAAGAUUUGAGAGUCUGCUAGUUGCUCUAUAUACUGUUUGACACAGCUUGAAGAGUACCAGUAAAUCCAUAUCCGAAUGCUUGUUAAGGUCUGUAUGAAACCAAUUCUAUAGCCAAUGUGAUUGAACUUAAUACAUUCUUCUGUCUCGAACUCAAUUUACAUUAAACCUUGUUCAAAAUUUAGCAUUAAGCUAAUAAUCACACUCAUGCUUGUGGUUGAUGAUCAGGAGAAUUAUCAACUCUGCUACUACUUUUAGCCCCAAAUUCAUGCAGCGUACUUGACGAUCAUGUUUGCAUGAAGCUUUUCGAUCAAGAACAAGAAUUCUGCCACCGAGAAACAGAACGACCAAGUGCAUAUGGAACUUGAGGAGAAAAUGAUGAGAAUUGGUGUGAAGGCUAUGUAUCCAUUUUAUGUGUAGUGUGCUUCAAGAGUUUACCAACACAAGUAUAUACGAGUGAUUUGUAUCCUUUUUGGGCUCGGUCUAUUGUCACCAUGUCAAAUACAAAUCACAUGAGCCCUUGCAGGGAUGAUGGCCCAAUCAGUUUCACCUGUACAACAACACACAGCAGCCUCCCAAAGGAGAUGAUGUUAUUUUCUUACCUGAUGAUUCGUUGGGGUGAAGCUGAGGCAGAUAUCCUACGCUUUACUUGCACCAAGACAUGAUCUUUUUGGGCUGAAUGCAUUCAGCAUUUUUGGUUUUAUGAUUACCUACACUUCCCAAAAUUACUGCACAAAGCCUAGUGAAGUUGUGGUGGUAAUACAAGUUGAUAGAAGACUGCUGUAUUGAAUAGAACAAUAAUUCUUGCACCGAAGAGUGCACACGAGAAGAUUUAUUCUGUGAGAAGCUUCAGUUAUUCCAGCAACAUGUCCAAUGAAUGAAUGGAGAACAGAAGAGAGACGGAGAGAAGAAGAAUUUAACUGCACAAUCACAAUCCGCAGGGGACUGAUAUCAUACCUCAUCGACUCCUUCAAACGAUGCUUCGAGUUAGGCUUCCAAGUAGGGCAUCCUUGUAAGGCGUAGGAACUGGUGUAGGAGCCGAUACUGGCCUCCCUUCCUCCUGUUGCUUCCGGCUCUUCUUGUUGCUUUCUAGUAUCAGCGGAAGCUCCUCCCUGACUUUAGCUAGUCUCUCGUGUGCGCUACCUCGAAGCUUCUCCAGCCUCAACCCUUCCGUUCGUUGCAUCUUGAACACUCUUACCGUGUUCAUCAGCCCCCCAACGAGGAACAGUGAACUCCCUGACAGGCACAACCAAAUCCAGCUCCUCCCCUGCGUUGUGGUUCGUCAACAGGCUAAUGUGUUCCUUGCAUGAAUCAGAGACUGCUGCAAACUAACAACUCACCAGCAGCAUGUGAAGUGUAUCAUCAUGCUUGUUGACGAUCCCAGCGACCAAGAAGAGCAAGCUUCCCAUUAUGAGAGGAACCUGCACACUCUUCUGGAGGAGCUGAACAUGGCCGUCUGCUCUCUCGUAGAUCUGACACACGUUGUGGAUGGAGCCAAUGACCCAAAAGAUUGGCCCAGCGAUGAGUGUGUUAAGAGCAUGCUUUUCUAGCCUGUAUCUGUAUCCUUUCUCCAUCUGCAAGAUAUUACCUCGUUAUGUGAGUGCAAUCUUUUCAUUGAUAACAUGCUGAAAGAUACGAGUCAUUAGAAUCACCGGGAUCAAGAAGAACAGGUUGCCGACGAAGGUCAAGAUGACGCCCACAGUGUUCAUCAACGGCACGGCAAACUCCACGAGCGCCAGCUGCACGUCGAACUCCACCAGCGAGAGGCAGUAGUCGACGGCGGCCAGAUGCGCCACCAGGUCGUGGGCGUUCACCGCGAGGAGGAGCGCGAGGGCGACGAGGACGGCCACGAGGCCGGACUUUGCGCCGGCUGAUGAUACAGAGGAGAUCUGGGUGGCGAAGCCGCCGACGAGGAUGGCUGUGGCGAAGAGGUAGAGGCCGGCGUUGAUGUACUCCCACCGGGUGCGGGCGAGGCGGGAGCCGGGGCCGUAGGUGCGGCUCUCGCGAGCCGACGCGAGCUUCACCAUGGCGUGGACGGAUGCUUCACGUAGGAGGGAUUCGGGAUCGCUUGGGAUCCAAGAACCAGCUGCAGGUCUCGAUCUGAGGCGGGGGGUCGGAAGAGUGAUGGAAGGGAGGAAACGAGAGAAGUGCGGGGGGCGGAUCAGUACGUGGCGUCCUGCAUGGGGGCGUUGUUACUCGCGAUUCGUGCCAUCCAUAACAUAACACGUAGCUUAAGAAUACAUUAGAGAUGGAGCCCAAAAUAUGGAUAUUUAUGUGUUCUUUGACAUCAAAACGUAUGGAAUCUAUCGUACUACGAUUUCAUGUUCUUCUUAAUUGACUGAAUCAUCCAUACCAGAAGGAACAGAGUACAUGUACCGGCAAGACAAGGCAGCGUUCUCAUAUCAGACUUGUCAUUUCGUGCCAGCCACUGUUGCACGUUGAAAUCCUGUGUGUCUCAAGUUAUCGCAGUGGUCUCUCAUGUAAUUUCAAUUUGUUAGAUUUCAUCUUGUCGUUCCGAUGGCAUGAACAGGAAACUGCAGGCAGACCACAAGUCUUUAUGUCCUCACAAGAGUGCACAAAACAAGUGGAUUUCGGUGUCAGGACGAUGAAGAAAAGGGCAGAUUAUAUAUAAGUAUAAUUUUUUUUCAAAUAAUAAUAAUAAUAUAUUAUUAUUAUUAGAGCUAAAGAUAAAAUCAAAUAGAAGAAUAAGAAAUUAAGAAAGUAUAAAAUAGACUAUAUUGAACUUUAAUAUAUGUAUAUAUAUAUAAAUAACUUGAAUGGAUAUAAAAUAAUAAUUUAAAUCAAGAGAUCUUUAAAGACUACAUCUCAGUUACUCAUUAUCCUCACAGAGAUCAGUGAUAAGAAGGAUCCAUGUAGCAGAACUUGAAUGGUUGCAAUCUACAGAUUCUUUGCUGCUGCCGAUGCGUGUGUGUGUGGGGAAGCCAAUACAUUCGGGUCAUGUGGAACAAGCAAUCAACAGCAUGGAACUAAGGAAAUGGAUCGAAUCGCACUCAAAAGUUCAGAGUGAAAUGGAGAAUCUUCAGACUACAAGAGUAAAAAACUACGGCUGGUCCUUUGCUAACCAGACUUGGACUUGAUUUAGGCGCCUUCCCCAUUCUCUUUGCUGCUACAUCUUUCGCCCUCAGAGAGGAGAGAGUGGUGGCCAACUAUUUCCAGGUCGGAAACAUGGUUGAUUUGCUGUGAAGCAGCUGUAGCUUUAGCAGAAUGUUUGCUGAAUUUUUUGUGCGAGUUCCUCGGCGCUGAGCUCGCACUCUAUUCCGAUCUGCAGAGAGAAAUAAUCAUCAGUGAUACAUGAAUCGAUGUAAGAAAAGCAAUGAAAAUGAAAGAAGUAAUGUGCAGUCAUGCAUCUCCUUCUUUUACCAUCAUCAUAAAGCUGGCUCUCUGUAUGCUUCUUGAAACCCAUGCUUAGGUCAUAAAGAGCUAACUAACUUCAUAGAUGUGUGAAUACCAGAAGAAGAGCAUGGCUUAGUGGAUAAGAGGGAACAUGCAUCAGCUGCCAAGAACUGCAUGAGAGAUGGACCUUGAUGGUGAAUGAGUUGAGCAUGGUGUCAUCGGCGGUGGUGAUUCUGACAUGGAGUAUCUCGAGCGCGAGGGCCUCGAGAGCUGCAACUAUCUUCAGAGCUUGCCCAGGGAUGCGAUGCGACACAGUUCUAAGGAUCACGUUUGGGCCUGAGAACUUCACCUCCACAUCGGCCACCGGGGAUUUGGAGUUGGCUACCAGCUCAGAGCUGCUGCUGUCAAGAGGAGAGGAGGAUUCAUGGGAGGAGACCAGUGUCGGGGAGAGGUAGCUGCGUUGCAUCCCCGGUCCGUAAGGGCUUCUCGGUUGUGGAGUUCUUGGACUGAUGGGAAGAGCCAUUCUAGGGCUUAGAGGUGGUGGUCUGGGGCUCAAGGUUGAAGAAGACCUCGGGCUGGAAGCUGGCCUUGGACUUAGCAGUUCACCGUAAGCUUUCCUUUGCUUCUUGGCCUCCAGGGACUGCAACACUUGCUGCAGCUCCUUGAUGUACUCCACUACCCCUCCUAUGAUGCUUGCUUGAUCUCCCUGAGCUCAAAAAAUACAUAGAUAUGAAAGCUACGAGCAUCAAAGCCGAAGAAACACAGAAUAGCUAUGAGAUCCAUUUUACUCGUUUGACAUAGAAGCAAGGCAUCAACGAGCGCAGCACCGACAAGUGAUCGUUCAUCUGCUUCCGCCGGUUGCGCUCCACCGUGAUGUGAGACGUCUUCUGCUGUCCAUCUCGGGCAACCGCAGCGUCCGACACUUUCUGCUUCUUCCGAGCUUGGCCGGCCUCUUCAUCAUCCUCAUCGGCCUCGAAAGGGCCAGCUAACCCUUGAGAACCUACUGAACGUAGCUCCACAUUUAUGGCAUCCUCAAAUGUUUCCAAGAUGCUGAAAAGAUCCUCCGGCGAGGUGGCUCCGACCAACUCCGCUUGCGUCAACUUCGCGUGCCCGAAGACUUCAGUCAGGUCUUCUCCCAUGUUAUCCAGAAAUGGUCUUGGACGAAGAACCAAAACCACCAGGGGAUCAAUGGCAGCACAGAGCCUUAUGCUAUGUUGCUCUAGUAGGCAUAAGAGAAGCUGUUAGAGAGGAUAGAUGGCAAAGAAACCUUUAGCAAUGAUAAGGAGGAAACUACUGUAUCUGCUUGGGCAUUAAAUUGGAGGUUGGCAGUGACAGAAAAGACUGGAGAAGGCAAGAAUCAAGGAGAAGAUGGGGCCAUCUUUUCGAACUGCAAAACCAGAGAUGGCCAUUGGCUAACGGGGUUUCAAGUAGAGACAGUGACGUCUUUUCACUGUAGGCUUCUUCGUCCUGGAUUCUCCCUUCUAAUCUAAUGAUUCUACUUUUUUCGGGUGAUUCAGUCUAGAUACUGUUUUCGUUUGAAUUCAUCGUAGAAUUUUGUUCCUUCAAGACUUCGAUUUCUAACAUCUGCGUACGAUAUGAAAAAUAAUAAUGUCAUCGACUCACCCGUUCACCUCAACUGUAGUUAAGGAAAGGCAUGAACGCAUUAAGACAAGGCGAUACGGUUUAACUUUCUUAGCUCUACCUUCCAUAUAAACGAUGUAGAGAGCUUCCCUUAUUUGUGCCAGACAAACCAAGAUCAUGGGCAAAGCAUAUCAUCACGGGCAUCCUACUAUGAUAUCAUCCUUCAGAGGAUGCACUAGUCAGCUACCAUCAUCAAUAAUCUCCUAACGGGAUAAGGGAUACCCUAAUAUAUCAUUAGCCUCACGUCAUCGACCGCUUAGGUAUAAAACUAAGCCCCAAGCUAAACAAGAGCAAGAAGACUCUAUCUUAACUCUUCUUAACUUUAUUAAACUCCCUCCAUUUAUUCUAUUGAAUUAAGAGUCGGAGGGAUCAGGUCGGGACAUCCCCCCAAUAUCGAUCGCUUAUGUAGGACCCAAGUGUAUCUAAGGAGCACCUCGGAAUGAUGUUGAGCACUUCUGGACAAGACCAAGACGCCCCUCGGGAUGACCCCGAACUUCCUCCAACAAAUAAGCUACACCUCAAGAUGAUCGCAAAUCAACCAUUGUUAACUAGCAACGCCUCAAGAGUCCACCUGCCACCUCAGUUGCUCGCUCGAUCCACCUGUCUUUGGGACCGAACUAGGUCGUGUUGACUCUCCAAUCAACAUCACCAAGAUAACAAUACCAUGCUUUCUUCGUCAUAGGAUAAGAAUCAUAUUAUCUAAUUUAAUCUAACAUCCAAAGGUAUUUAAUCCAAUAUCAAAAGUUUCAUGGAUAUAUUAUUAUAAAUUUUAAUUUAAAUAUUUUAAGCUAAUUAUUCAGACUAAACUAUGUUAACAAAUUACUUAUCUCAUAAGUUGGAUUAUGAUAAUUAAUAUCAGAAUCUACCUAAAGUAUGGGACAUAGUAAAGACUUGUUAAAAAAGAUAACCUUCGAGUGAGAUAAAAAAAAAACACUUUAUAACAUAAAGUUAUGUCUCACUUGUGUUAAGCUAAGGUUUAAUAAGCUAAGAUUUAACUAUGGACUUUGCUGAGAACCUCAAGUCAAGUCUUUUAAGUAAGAUAGAUUGUAACAUUAUUAAUUAAAUUUUACGUUAAAAAUGGACUAAGAUCAAAAUUGGCAUAACAACAACCAUUAACAUGAUAUGGUUUUUAUAUGAUAGUGUUUCGGUAGGCUCCUGAUUUGUCUAUUCAGAAUUAAAGAAGUUAACGAGUUAGUCAUUCCAUCAAAUUGAGACAUACUGUGACAAUAUCUCAGAUCGAAUUUGUUAAUGUGACAUGAUUUUUAUAUGACAGCACUUAAUGGAGAAAUUGGAAGAAUGUUUCUCGGAUCAAAACAUGAUUUUGAUGUAACAAAGCGGAUCUUUCAAGCAGGAGAAUGUUGUUAGAGUUCAUUGCCCACAUAAAUGUAUGUAUGCAGGAGAAUGAAGUGCAAAAGUCAUGUAAUAAAGUGAUUCCUUGGAAUUAAAUUUCCUUUUGGCACAGAAUCGAACAGUAAGCAUAUGAGACAGACCAAUGCAAAAUAUAAAAUGAGAGGCAGCAAUCAUCUGUCAGAAGGCUCGGAGAAGAUGAGCACAGACAUGCCGUGCCAUGUUGAAUGGAUGAACCAUCACCUCUCAUUUAGUGAUCAGCCGUCAUCGGUCUCAGUAUAUUCCUUUCUUCGUGUUUUCUCCCUUUCCUCAUUUACUGUUUCAUUUACCACAUCCAACCACCGGUAUCAUUUUGCAUGAGUAUAUACAACUGUGAAGAUGUCCAUCUGAUCUUUUCAGGGCCUGUGGAGGUGACAUGAAAUCCAACUCUCAUGUUUCCGUCUUUCUUCUAAUAAACGUGAAUAGUCUAAUAUAUUUCGUUCAAAUAAUAUAGAAUACAUGAAAACAUGUAAUGCAGAAGAGUGGAAGGUCGAAGCCGAAAUCUGGAAACUUUUGAUUGAAAUUUCACUACUAGCCAUAUAAAAUCUAUAAGCAAUCUCUCUCUCUCUCUCUCUCUCUNNNNNNNNNNNNNNNNNNNNUCUCUCUCUCUCUCUCUCUCUCUCUCUCUCUCUCUCUAGCCAGAUUUUGCGGUCCUCCACAUGUAACACCAUAAAUACGUAUAACUCACAAGAGACGCAAGAUCUAAAAAGCACGGGUGACAAGGCUGCAGCGCAGUAUAUAGCCACUUUGCUGAGACGUACCUCCCGUUCGAGGGCUUCAAUGAAGGCUCCCAAGGAGUCAUUCAAUGGCACCACGAAGGAGGCAUGAGAGAAAGAGAGAGAAGGCGGCACAAAAAUCGGAGACUGAUAUGAUAUGAAAGCCGCCUUAAAUAAGGUGGCAUGCUGUCUUCAUGUGCACUGACCGCAGCUAAGCAACAAAGAUCACGACGCCGCCGACUCGUCGCUCUCAAAAGCGCCUCACCGUUGGCCUCCUCCUCUCUAGGGUUUGAUUCGUGGCUGGUGUCUGUCUACUGUUCUCUGGAACAAAGGCAGUGAGUUGUCACAGGUGACAAGAGAAAGCAAAUGGAAUCGACAUCAUGUAAUUACAGUGGAUCGUAUCAUAAUGGUAUUUAGUAGAAAUAACACACAAGAAAUCAUUUUCGCAUCUGUCGAUGAAAUCUCGUGUUCGUGUAAUCUUCACAUCUUCCUCUAUUUUGAAUCAAUUUUAUUCAACUUCAUAUCAGAUUUGAGAAUGAUUUGUGUUCUUUCAGAUUUUAGGUUGGCUGCCAAAUCCAACAUAUGGGAGUUUGCAAUAUGGCCAAUUAGGAUGCUUACUUCCUCAUAGAACUCGGUCUAUUUCUUCCAUUGUAAAUCUUGCAGCUUCAUGAUUUUAGCAAUUCAAGUGGUUGGAAGGAACCAAAUCAUGAUUUUAGCACUGCAACUCACACUGUGAUCAAUGCUCCUAAGCAGUGUUUGAAGAAGUAAUGUGUUUCAGUUCUUAUCCAAGUGAAGGUAUCAACAUGACAGAAACCAUAGCUAGUAGACCUCCACAGUGAUCAUUUAUUGAGAUGUAGAAGAUAAAAGAGAGCCACAAAUUCUUGCAUUUUGGUACAAAAAUAGGCAUCUUCUCUGAUAUCAAAAGAAUGCCAGAGAAUCAUGGCAACAAAGAUUAGGCAGGAUUCUCGUCCAUCAAAAUUUACAGGGUACUACAUCUGAUUACAGUUAUCCAAGCGAGAAUACAAUCAUAAUCUUCUUCAGCUGAACCAGAUUCCGUGCAGCAGUUUGAGAAUCCUGUGGCUUUUGGCUUUCCUGUAAUUUGAUCUCGACACAUACGACGGAUGCGAAGAAACAAAGUUUCGCCUUGGAGAAGCUGUAACUGAGAUUCACUCGUUCGUUAUAAGCUCCAUAAUUAACUCAUUCCAAGUAUCAAUUGCGCCAGGCAAGCACCAAUGCAGACAGUCAUUCUGAACCUUUGCAUUCUUAUUCUUGUCGAAUGGAUGAAAUGUCCUGUAAGGACCCGAAUGAGCAUCAGGCCGCAGCAAUGAGAGCUGAUAAGUGUCCAAGAGUUUCAAGUUUGCCUCAUUCUCUGAACCAUCAGCUGUCGCUGCCCUGCCAAACUCCUCCAACUCAAUCUUUCGCAUCACAUGGUCCACAUCCUUGCCAUUGAACUCCCUGAUCUUAUACGGUGAGGUCCUGUUACAUUUGCCACCACUAAACCAUUCACCAUAUUCGAAGUGGUCUGGCGUCCAUGUCCUAUAAAUUACAACUGGCUUGUGCUUGGAAGUGGUGACAAAACCGAAGACAGAACUAAGGAUUUUGCUAUAAGCAGACUCAAGACUGAGCUCUGAUAUGUUCAGCUUGGGACAAUAGUGGCAACCGACAACUGUAUUAUUCUCCAAAUAAAUUGCAGUUUUCAGAAACCACUGGCCACCAGAUAUCACUAUGUAAUCAAAGCUAUUAUACUGACUUGUCCACUUUUUAUCAAGCGUGUCGAUGUGAAGCCGGUUUUCAGACUUCGACUCACCAUUAUCAUUUUCGAAGAUCUCUGCUUUGAUGAGGAACGGGCUCCAGAUGAGGGAGAGAGUGAAGUUGUGAGAGGGGAAGUGCCAUCUUCUUGAUUUGUAUUGGUCAUCAUGGUAGACCUCAACAGGAUCUCCGACCUGAGAUACAGUUAAGUUGAUCGGUUAUGAAAACCAAGAAUAACAAUGUCUCUUACAUAUAGAAACAAUUGAUGCAGAAAACCAAAAUACAGAAUUAUAAUGUUGCGUGGAGAUAUAAUAUAUACAUAUAGUUAUAAACAACCGACUAAUUUCAGGGUUGUAUCAGUUUAUCCAGGAAUAAUCCACCAGUUUGUAGAGUACAAUGACAACAGAUACCAAUGUAAAAUCUUUUUGAACAAGAGAGAUGACACUGCUUGUAGAAAUUGCAAACCUUCUAGGGGAGGAUAACAACUCCUCAAGGUGCCAUAGUUAUAAACAACCGACUAAUUUCAGGGUUGUAUCAGUUUAUCCAGGAAUAAUCCACCAAUUUGUAAAGUACUAUGACAACAAAUAUCAGAUGUAAAAUCUUUUUGAACAAGAGAGAUGACACUGCUUGUAGAAAUUGCAACCCUUCUAGGGGAGGAUAAACCAACUCCUCAAGGUGCCAAUUCUGCUACAAUCUUCAUAAUUGCAAACCUUCUUGGUAAAUGUAAGUGACUUAUCGAAUAGUGUAUACUGUACAGGGCUUAUCAUCAUAAUUUUAGGUUUCAUUGCUUGGAGAAAGAAUUUAGAAACAAGGUCACAGUGGAGAAAACACAAGAAACUAGAACUGGUAUAUAUCAGGGAUUUUUUUUGCAUUGACAUGUACCUUUAAGAGAUUAUGAUUAUAACUGAGGGGUUGCUUUCUUUCUGAAAUUACCGAAGGCCAUACUUUACCAAAACAGUGGUACAUUACUAUAAGUUCUAAUCGCACAAACUGCUUUUGAAUUCCACCAUAGUGAUAACACACACUCCUGUCAAAUUUUACCAUGCGGAGUUCUAAGGAGUAUUAGACAAACUUCGCUUCAUGCCAGCAUUUAAGGCUGGAUGCAGUUCACUGAACUGCAAACUUAUUGGAACAUUUAAGACACCAAUUUGGAGUUUACAUUUAUCCUAUAUUCGAUAAUCUUUGCAUGAAUAAACAUUUAUUGGAAAGUCAAUGUUUAAGAGCUUAGAGCUCACACUGAAUGCUAAAACACAAAAAGAUGAAAAGUAAAAUCAUCUAAAUAAGUCAAGUUGGACUACUAUAACAUGAAAAAAUUCAGACUAAUAAUUUAAUAAUUAACCCCAAGUUUAGGGACAAGGAGAACACUUGAUCCUACAAACAAGAAAAAUAAAAUAUAUGAGAAAUUUUAUAGACAUGAUAGGAUAAUCACUGGAUGCAAGUGAUGAGGUUGAUAACUAUAAGGUUCAACUAAAAUUAUACUCACGGAUGUAGACAAUGCUAUAUAUCAAAACAACAGACGCACAGAACAUUGUAGACUAGUUCUGAUCAUAGGCAAGUCAGCUUGGUUAAGAAGCUGAAUUCAAGGACACCACAUGGUUAGCACAGUUUGCAGCUUAAUGACCUAUAGUGGAUGGUGAUUUUCAUCCAGGUUCCAACAUGAAUCAUGGUAAAAUCAAAUGAGGCACCAUGAAAAUAUUCAGCCAAGCAUCAGUUGUGCUUAAAUUGAUAAUGCUGGAAAAAACACUGGUGAAGCUAGUUCUGCUCUAAUCAGAUGUUUUAGAAAAUUAAUGCUACAUGGCCCAAUUAACUAGAAAAAGUUAAGUUUUAAACUUGUUGCACUAGAUACUGUUAAUAAAAUUCACCUUAGAAAGAAGACAAAUCAAUGACUGUGCAUGGUUGCGAAGAAUUGAAUCACCAACGAGCGCCCAACUUCUGUUCUGCAUAGUUUCCAAAAAUUUUGUGGCAUUGAAGGGUGGUACAUGACAACCAUGUGGUUUCCAUCUCCAAAAAAGGUAUCCCACAUCAGGACGUCCAUUCUUCAUACAAUUUUGAGGAGGUUCUAUGAAUCGGCAGCUCUCAUUGGUGUACAGUGGUCCUGAUGGAUUCGGGAUCCACUCUCCCGUAAAAAGAUCACACUUAUCUGUAGUGCAUAUACCAGUCAAACAAUAGCACAAAAACUUUAACAAAACAAAGAAAACAACAAAAGAAAAUAGAGAAGCUACAAAAACAUUAUUAUGGAAAUACAAAGUACAUUACACAGAAUUCAGACUACAACAGUAAACAAAUCUUUCAAGUUUCAGGCCCUUUGCCACCAGUAAAUAUAUCAUUAAACAUAGAAAAUUACUACGUCCCAUAUAUAAUGUUUAACAAGAAGCAGAUAAUACAAAGAGUUAUUUAGCAUUUUUAGCCCUUCCCCCCUCUUCUUGCUUUUUCCCAUUGCCCAGAAUGACAUCUAAUACCCCAGUUCAGCUGCAGUUAAUUUGUAAUGCUUCCAAAUUCAUAAGCACAUUUACAGAUCCUGGAAAAGAUUGUUUAUUCAUGAAGGAUCAACACCAAAAAUAACAUCUAUCUCAAAUCCAAAUUAACACAAAUACUAUUUAGAUACCUGACCAAGCUUAGCUGCUUGACAGUGAUAACAACAUGAAAUUGUCCCUGACUUGGCUAUUAAGAAAAAUAAGGAUAUGAUUUAUUUUCUCAUAUUUGCUUUCCAUUCAUAUCCAUAUUUGAAAGCUCUGGACUUCCUACCUUGUUGAGAAACUUGUUCUUCAACAUCUAGGGCGGCUUUUGGAGCCGGGGCACCUGCAUCUGUUGAUGGUAAGUCUGAAAUGGACAAAGAUAUUUGAUGAUUUUAGAUGAGAAGAUAACUGCAAUAAAAUGAAAUCUAAUAUGCAUAAUAAGCUAUAAUAGCAGCCAAUUUUUUUGGUAAAAUUUUACCUCUAGAACUUCCAAAACAUAACUUUCUUUACCAGCAGAUUCAUAAACUGCUAAUCAACAAGGGGCAGAUACGCUAACUUGACCUCUUAAGUUUUCUCACUUUCUUAUAGAUCUAAUAAUUGAGCUUUUCUUGCAUGCACUUUACUAGUAUGUAAUGAUGUUAAAAGCAAAUUAUGCUGAUGGGAUCUUCAGAUCUAACCACCAUAACAGUAGUACAAUGUCUAGGUUAAUUACACAAACUGCACAAUAAACAACUAGUCAGGACAAUAUCAUCAUAUAAAUUAUCCUCUUUUUCCAAAGAAUCACAUGGCUUACUGGUCUUGACAACUGCGAAACCUUAAAAUCCCUUUCCUUUCUCUCUUAAACUAAUCCUUUCUAAUUAUUCAAUAACAUUGAUGUGACAGCAAUCUCACUUUCAGCACCUGAAAUGAUAAUCUGACUUCUCGAUUUCUCAUACCCACUAGCAUAAUUUACCAUAAUUCAGGGGAAACAUAACUAAGGUCUUUCUCAAGAAAACCAAAAACUUAAGUUUUGGCUCUACAAUUUUUUUCAUCAAAUCAAAUCCCAACAACAGGAAAAACAUACCUCUAACGUAAAAUCCAGAAAAAAGAAAUAUAUUUACUUCUUAUCAAAGUUCAGAUCACUCCACUGUAAAGACGCAGAAAUGUUUUUUGUUUCAGUGCACUCGACACACAAAUGAAAACCCCCCGAGAUCGUUUCUUCGAAAGUCCUAUCUAAAGAAACACCGCGAACGGCACCAAGAACGACUCCUUUACGUCCUUUGUUCGAUUACGCAUUCCACGAAAACUCAACCCCAAAAAAGAACUCAUCUUGCGAACAAGAUUCCCCCACCUGUUUGCGGCUUUGCGUCCCCAAGGCCCACGACCGCACCCGCGGAGGCCGCUAUCUCCGCCACGGCGACGGGCGACACCGGCACGGCCUGGAAGUCGGUGGAGUGGGAGAAGAGGAGGCGAAAGGAGAGGCCCACGAGGAUCACGAAGACGAGAAGCUUGACGACGACGUGGUUGCUUUUGCGCUGGUGGACCGACCAAGGCUCCCAGUCCCACCCCAUCCUCCCCUUCACCAUCUACGUUCUCCGCUCGCCAAACAAGAGUACAAAAAUAAUGAAGGUGGAGAAGCAGAGGAUUAGAGAUAAGAGAUUUGAGAGAGAGAGAGAGAGAGAGAGAGAGAGAGAGAGAGAGAGAGAAAGAAGAGGGAGAGGGUGACGAUGUAAACUUGUAGAAAGCACCACUCCAAGACGAAGCAGAGAGAGAGAGAGAGCGAGAGAGAGCGAGCGGGGCUGGGAAAAGAGCCAUUUUUAUGAUCAUAUUGCAGAGACAGAGUGGGGCAGGGAAAAGAGCCACCUUUAUCCUCUUUCUUUAAAAUCCAUAAUGUUAUCACCUUGCAGCAAACAAAGAGUGGGAGUAAUUCCUGUGACAAAAUUAAUUACUCGUGCAUGCAAAGCUUUUAAAGAUUGGAAUUUUCCCCAAUUCCAUGCCACUUUCUUUAUGAGGAUUGGUGGACAAGUUAUCAUCUUGGAUUUAUAAAUAGGCUGCCAAAUGAUGGACCACUGGUUUGAAGAACAGACACUACUUGUGAGAAUAAGUAUAAAAGGAAAGGAAGAGAAGGAACAAAGAAGAAACUACAGUGAUUAAAUCACCCUUUUACUGCUACAAAAUGUAAUAAAUGUCUCUUGCUGUUGGUAUGAAUGAUUGGAGUAUGUAAAUGCUGUUCCACUAUGUUUCUUCUAAGAACAUAAAUCAGUGUGUACUACAAGGUGAUUGAGUCCACAUAGUUGUGGAGUCACUGAUGGAACAGUAGCUCGAAGAAUGAGAAACUUCUUGAUUAGCUUAGCAUCAAAAAAUCCUUGUUCAAUUAUGUAUUAAUACUGAUCAAGAUUGUAGCUUAAUAUUUAAAGAAAAUAUAAUGAUAUGAUUGCUCUGCAGCAAUUGAAAGGUGAGAGUAGUUGUACCUGUUUCUGGCAAAUUGAGACAUUGAUGCUUUAAAUCUUGCAACUUUGAUGUGUGGAUUUGGUCCCCCGGUGCUGCUCCACUUUGUUCUUCACCACAGGCAUUUGGCAGUUCAUACAAGGUCCCAAAUAACAUGUCAUGUGACCAUAUCUGUCCACUGUUGAGCCAAAUGGCUUCUCCCUCACCAUCUCCCCCCUCUGUGUCGAUUCAACAAGAAGCAAGGAGCAGAAAACUUGUCUUCCUACAACAGACAUGAUCUGUCUUACAUCACCAGUUCAUCAACCAAGCCACACCAUUUCCAAGUUAUAAUAACUCUUGCCACACUCAAGUCCAAACAAUCCGUCACAGUAACCUUAUCAUCCAAGUAACACAGCCUACCAAGAACAAAGCUUCCGGUUGGAUCUUUCUUUGCAAGUCAAUGAACUUGUUUACCAAGUUUACCUUGCCCCAUGUAUGUUACUUUGAUCCCAAGCAUCCUCUUCAGCAAGUAUCUACCAAGCCAGAGUGAUUCAAUCACUGAGGUAGAUUGUUUACCUCAGACUUUUCAACUCGACCUACCAAUGCACUUGCUUAAAUUUGUGGCAUUGAAUAAAAGGUUGUAGUAGUUGGUACCUUCCAAAAUCUAAUGGUGGCAGUGGAAAAAAGUUCAGCUCAUAUUGGUAGAUCCACAAUCAGUACUAACAUUAACAUCUACCUGUUCAUGUUUUUUCAGACCACCCCAAGGCACUUUAAUUGCUCCAAGAAGUCACACUUCAAUGUUUGGUCCCAAAAAGGAGAAAUGAUGGGUUGCAUUUAUUAGCCAACAAGCAAUCUAUAUCCAUCCAAUCGUGUAUCAACCUCUGCUAUUUCCAGUAGGCAAGGUAGUUCCUCCCAGCUAAUUUGGAGAAUUUAGCAGUCAUGUGGUUCACUGUUUUUCCUAUCUUAUCAGCCAAGAAAUUGUCUCUGAUGCUAAGGUGCCAAGACCUCCAAUCCCUUUAGAAGAGCAGAAAUGGCUGCCUAGUUUCCAUCAGAAAUUUAACCAAAAGCUCAAGGUUACAGCAGCAGCAACAGAAAUGAGAUCCUGAAGUAAGAAUAUAUGGCAGGAAAACUAGCAUGCCUACAAAGAAUGAUCAAACAAACACAAAGUCUUAUUUAACUUAAUCACCAAGCAGCCCUAAAAUAAUUAUUUCAGUUUGUGAUUCUCACUCUUGGUCUAAAACAUCAGAUAAAAAAAUAAUUAAGCUGGAAUUAGUGAAACUAACUCCAUGACACUGAUCAUGCAGUUUAUACUUGUCAAACCUCAUGAAAUGGAAGGGCAUAAUACUUGAGAAAAAGAGACGGAACACAUCAAAGAGAAAGUAAAGAACAAGAGGCCCCAUCCUUACCUCAAUCAGAAAAGGCAGCCUAUUCCACAACCUGUUAGCUGGCAAUUUAGAUCAAUGGACCCAAAGCAGAAAAGAAAGCUGACAGUUACAGUUCUGUGAUAAUGAUGCACAAUGUCUAUUUGAUUUCAACGUCAACCAAGUUAAAAUCCAAGUGCCAUAGAAGUGUCUUCAGGUUGGUGAGACAAGAACUAUGUCAAUCCAACAAAUGGACUAUUUCAUGUGCUCAUCUAGAAAAGCAGUAACAUCUUGGAACUACCCUUACAAUCAUCCGAUCUUUAAAUGUCAAUCAAGUACCUUUACAGAAUCUUUAGUACGAAGAACAUCUUCAAAUUUCACGUUAUCAGAUUAGAGUAGCUAGCCCUGAAUUAAUAGUAAAUUUUUAGAAAAAGCUUGAAACCCAAGCAAAAUGCAAGCACGGUCAAUCUGCAUAUCAAAAUAAACAGUCAUCUGAAAUCCAAACCCACAUUUAUUUAAGAUUUAGUCAACUUAUUAAAUAAGAAUAUUGGUUGAAAGAGAUCCAAUGAAUUGGUCACUUUUUAAUAUUCUGAAUUCGAGUAAUCAAGAUGUUCUAACUCCUAAACAUGUGAGACCUGCACAUGUGUAAGAUCUCUCAUCCCUAGAAUCUCUCGAACAAAGUAGAUAAUAAUAUAAUGUAACAUAAUAAUGAAAAAAAAAAGAUGCAUUAAAGGAAUACACUCCAAAAAAGUAACCCAAUGACACAAAAAAAUAUUACCUAAAGACUAAACCCAUUUCAAUCGAGAUUUGUCCAAACAAAAGACUUCACAAAACAAAAAUCACUACAAGCACCUGCAUGCUGAAUACUGUAAAUCUACAGGAAUAUGGGUGUAACAUGGCAGACAAUCAAAAACUGCACAUUAGAAGAAGAGCUUAGAAGUCUCUUAGAUAUCAGGUUUCAGGAAGUUGCAUUGAGGGCUGACUCAAUAAUCCUAGGAGAUGCCCAAUGAAUGAAACUAGAAGCUGUAAACAUGGAUACAACAAUGUAUAUCUGAGAGACAUCAUGUUCUGUUGAGAACAGUUUAAGUAGUACACAUGAUAGAGUGGGUCAGAUGGCAUCCUUUGCGAAUAGAAGUUUGUCAUGAAUUAGAGAGCUACACUCCCAUUAGCAUAACUUGGGAGAAGUUUCAACAAACAAAAGAUGUAGAGAAUAACAUAAACACAAAAGGAUGGUAACUCUACGAGCUGACUUUGAUCUGUAUUUAUCAAAGUUGAAGCUUCCCAAGAAAAAUUACAAGGGAAGUAAUACGAAAGAACCUUUUAAAAGACACAAAGUGACCGCAGGGAACAAAUGAAGUACAAUUACUCCCCAUCAUGACAUCCUCUGCAUACAGGAGAAUUGAAAUCUCCAUUAGAUGAUCUGCUGGCACCAACUGCUACCCUUAAAGUCAUCACUUAAGCAGACUUUUGGAACACACAUGCAAACUCAUGCAAUGACAGGUCAUUUGGACUGCUUAUGAAGACACGCAGCAAGUAUAGCCAAACUCAUGCAUGUAUGAAAAAAGGGUAGUGAACUGAAGGUGCUAAGUCUUCUACUACUCACAUCCUUUGACGCAUUCCAUCGAACAUAUCAAAGGCAUGAACCGUCCACUUCUUUCUAGUAUACGCUGCUCGCAUCGUCGACUUGAUGGGACUGAAGUAGACGUUUGAUCUCAGAAACAACUGUGGUUGUCCGUGUACGAAACAAAUCAUUCGCGUGUCGAGAAAAGAGAAGUAUUUUUGACUUACCAGCAGUCUUACCUGGCUUGUGAUUGCGGGAAGCAUGAGUCCCUUGCGGGAGCCACAUAUCGAUGGUAGGCACGUCCAACGAAGAGACGGGUACGUGAUGCAGUUGGUCCGUAGAGGGUCGAAGACACCGGAUCGUUGCAAGCAUCGUAACUGAAUUGGUAGCGUCGAUUGGAUUACUGGCGCUAUCUUCAAAUUUGGGCCGUGAACCUAUGGAGCGGACGUGGACCAUUUGCCAAGGCGGACCGGGCAACCCAAUCUGAUCGAUCUCGACCGUCCACUGCCUCGUUUCUCGCCUCCAUCGCUCAUCCCCUCCAUAUAAGAGAGGGGAAGCACAUAGGGUUUCUUUCACAGCCCGUGCUCUCCUUUAUCUCCGCCUCCUCCACUCUCGUCUCUUCUCCAUCUUUAGAGGUUAAAGAGACAGGGCUCGCCCGGCCCCGUCCGCCUUGACGACGCCUCAUAGCCUCGUCUUGGCCCUCAAAAGGAGAUCCUUUUUGGUUCCGGUUACAUAGAACAAGCAAAGCAAGAUGACGGUGAAGCUGUCGAAGGCGGAGAAGAAGGUGGUGUACGACAAGAAGCUGUGCUCGCUGCUGGAUGAGUACAGCAAGGUGCUCAUCGCGGUCGCUGACAACGUUGGCUCCAACCAGCUCCAGAAUAUCCGCAAGGGCCUCCGCGGCGACUCCAUCGUCCUCAUGGGCAAGAACACCCUCAUCCGCCGCUGUAUCAAGAUCCACGCUGAGAAGACCGGCAACAAGAACUACCUCAACCUCCUCCCGCUCCUCGUCGUAAGUUCCUCUCUCGCUUAUCCAUUUAUCGCCGGUGAAAUGUUCUUGUUUUAUAGAUGUUUGCUUUUGUUAUAACAAUUGUUUGAUUCAGGGAAAUGUUGGGCUGAUAUUUACGAAGGGAGAUCUUAAGGAAGUCAGUGAGGAGGUUGCCAAGUACCAGGUGUGCUUUUGUUCUCCCAUGAUCUUUUUCUCUUUUGCAGUUGGUUUCAAGUUUGAAAAUGAUAUCUUUAGGUUUAAAUAGCAGAUGAGGAAUUGCAAUUGUUAUUUUUUAAAAUGGUCGUUUGAAAUUCUAUUAUGAAUUUGUUAAGUAGGUUAUUUGCAUAAAGACAUUUCAUGUACAUAUCUAAUAAUUGUCAUCAAGUUCUCCUUAUUUCUUGCAAAUUGCAUAUGUUGUAAUCGGUAACAUGCAAAUGAAAUCAGAUGUAGAUUGCUGAAGUCUUGUAGAUUUAUACUUUCACUGAGCAUUGCAUGCCUGUACAUGUACAAGGUUGUGGAUACUUUCGAAAUCCUAUAGUCACUCAGAUACAAAAUCUCAGUCAAUUUUGAGCUAGCCUUCAACUCCAUCUAUGAUAUGAUUAGAAGGAAAAAAAAAACCCUUUAGUAAGUCAUACUGGAGACAUCAAUAUGUUUAUCAGGUAUUUGAAAUUCUUUGGUAUCAUUUGCAUCAUUUUGACUUGAACUGGACUUGGUUCACUUUUAAGACUGAAUUUUCCAUUUUUUGGCUUGUUUAAGGAAGCAAGUGUGGUUAAUUGAUAUAAUACUCAUUUGUUUUUGUUAAUUGGAAAUUGUAUAGAGAGAUCUGGGUCAACCUAGUUAUGCUGGACAUAAUAUUGACUGAAUUUACUCUUUUUAGGCUCUUCCAUAUGUUUAGGGAGGGCAAUAGAUGUGCAAAUUGGCUAGCAGCCUAUGCUAGGUCAAAUUGUUAUUCUUUCAUUUAGAGGGGGGCAUGUCCCUGCUUUUUACAGUUUUUUGUGUGCUGGCCUCCAGAGCGCAGUGUGUACCCGUUAUCUAAGUUAAUAUAGCUUUUUUCCUUUGAAAAAAACCUAAUUAUGCUGGACAAAGGAUACAUCUAAUGUAUUUGCAUAUUUGGAUGUAUUUAGCUAGUUGGAUACUUGUCAGAAAGCUUGAUUGUAAACUUCAAAUAUUGAGAGGUAUGGACCUCUUGUUUUGAAGGAUUUAUUGGAACACAUUCAGUCAAAUAUUCUUUGUAAAAUCUUUUAAAAUAGGUUAAAUAUUGUUUCUUCUGGUGUUGGACCCUUGGGGCAUGUACUCUAAAUCGUAGGAUUCUUGUGUCUGUUUGUGAAUAGUAACUUCGUUCAUUAUAAAGCACCUUCACUGGAUGGUUCUUUCUUAUCUAACGUGCUUUACUUAUAGUAGCAUAAUAUGUUGAACAAUAUAUAUGAUGGAAUGUAGUAGAACGCCUUUAAAAAUAUAUUGGUCUAAAUUUGUGAUCAAGAUUUUUGCAAGUGUAAUUUUUAUUUUCUUGCAAGCAAGAUUUUUAAUCUUGUAUCAUACUCGUGUAUCGAGCUUUGCUCGGGGCGGUAGGGUAUGGGGUAUCGAUCGGUACGCCGGGGCACAUCGAACUGUAUGCUAAAAAAAUAAAUAAAAAUCAAUUUUAGCCUCGUUAUCAUUGCCUUGACCUUCUUUUUCUCGUCGCCUUGGUUGCGGCCUUUGACGUCAAGGAGGUGGGGAGAAGAAAGACGGCAUUGAAAUGUUCUCCGUGCGGCAACAGUGGACUAAGGAGAUCGUUCAAAGAUGAAGAAGGCUAGGGUCUUCGUCGCCUUCCUCGUGUUGUCUCUUCCGUUGCUCUCGCUAUCGCCGCUCCUGAUCCCCGUGCCUCCGGCCCCUCUAAAGAGGUAUGACUCUCUUUGUCGUUACCUCUUGGAUCGGGAUCGAGAAAGGGUGUGGAAGACAAGUUCACGCCAAGGUUCGACUGGCUCAAGUUCAUCGAGACGUUGGUGAUAGUGCAAUGGGCAAUGGUGACUCCGCGGUCCUCUUUCUUGAUGUUUUUCCCUUUUCUUCGAUGCUUUUUCGUCUUCUUUGAUUGCCCUCUUCUUCCUUGUCUCGCCAUACCAAAUACUUGAUAUCGCUCAGUAGCGAGCAGUCCAUGUGCCGAUCAGUUGGCGGACCGGUACGUAUCGCCCGCAUCGUGCGGUACGGAAUGGUAUUAAAAACCCUGCUUGCAGGUCAUAUUUAUUUGCAUUGUGAAGCAAGAAACUCUUGGUUGAGCUAGCGAGGACUAACAAAAUUGAUCAACUCUUUUGCAAUUGCAUCUAAAAUAUUACACAGUUUUUAUAUUGUGAUGAUUUCUUUCACCUACAACACUUAUAAUGGGUUUGAAGAUCCUUUUGUUACUAAUGAGGUCUUGAUAUUGUACUUGCAUUCCUUAUUUAUGCAUUCUAUCAUAGAAUUGAGAGUGGUUUUAACCACUGGGAAAAGAAUUUUGGAAAGUUGAAACAAGAUUCUUAUCUGCUAAGUCUAUGCAGAAAACAUCUAUUGCAACAACAUAAUAUCAUAUUUUCGUUCUACCAAAUCAGCAAGACUUCUACAUGGUCUGUCCUUAUUAAACAUCUGUUUUUGCUGGUAGAUGGUAUCAUCUUUUAAGCCGAUGUAAAUAGAGUUUCUCUGUGUUCCUUUCUGCCGACAUUUUUAGCUUUAAAUUACUGCUGUUCCUGUUGGAUGGCUGGUUGAGGAGUGGUAGUCUUCACUUGGUCCAUCAAAUUUCAUGUAGCAUUUAUUUUUUCUCUUUUCCUGUAUGUUCAGGUUGGAGCUCCUGCUCGUGUUGGUCUUGUUGCUCCCAUUGAUGUUGUUGUCCCCCCUGGGAACACCGGAUUGGACCCUUCGCAGACAUCCUUCUUUCAGGUGAGUUACAUAUAUCUUUUGUACUUCACACAAAAUAUUGUUGGGUUAAUUUUGAAACCCCUUUUGUUUUCUCUCAGGUGCUCAAUAUUCCAACCAAGAUUAACAAGGGUACUGUCGAAAUCAUUACUCCUGUCGAGCUGAUUAAGAAGGGAGAAAAAGUGGGUUCAUCUGAGGCUGCUCUCCUUGCAAAGCUUGGGAUACGGCCUUUUUCUUAUGGCCUGAUUAUUCUGUCCGUCUAUGACAAUGGAUCUGUCUUUAGUCCCGAGGUGCUGGAUCUCACAGAGGAUGACCUCAUCGAGAAGUUUGCUGCUGGUGUCUCCAUGGUUACUUCAUUGUCUUUGGCCGUUUCUUACCCGACCCUUGCAGCAGCUCCUCACAUGUUCAUCAAUGCAUACAAGAACGUGCUUGCAGUUGCAAUUGCAACAGAGUACACCUUCCCACAGGCAGAAAAAAUUAAGGAGUACCUAAAGGUAGAUUUCAUAUUCCCAGCUAUAGGUCUUCUUCACACUUCCUCUUAUAAAUCUAUAGGAUACUAAAUCCGUAAUUGGUGCAGGAUCCAAGCAAGUUUGCUGUUGCUGCUACUCCUGUUACUGAAGAGGCUGCAGCCGCUCCUGCUGCAGCACCUGCAGAAGAGAAGAAAGAGGAGCCAGCCGAGGAGUCCGAUGACGAUAUGGGCUUUAGCUUGUUCGAUUAGGAGUUAUACCUAGCUAAAGAAAUGCCUACCAAAUUUAUCGUUCAAACUUCAUUUUGCUUUUAUAAUCCUUAGUUCUACCAAGAAAUUCCUGGUUCAAGUGGAGUUAUAGCCGUCGUCGUGUUCUACCGUGUGUUUCUUAUAUCAAGUGUCAUCUGUUUUCUUAUUUAGAUUUUAGACAAUGCGCUUCAUUGUUUUAUUUUUGUGGAAAUAGAACUCCAGUUUUUGCAAUUAGAAACGCCUGCAAAUGGUUCGGCAAAGUUAUCGGAUGUUGCUUCGUGGUGUAAUCUGCUCGAUCUUUCUUUGUCUGUGUGUUUAUAUGUAUAUGCCAUUCUUUUGUGGUUGGUGGCUUGACGAGCAGGUGAGCCGUGGGGUCCAGUCUAGCUGAGCGUUUUCUACCUAUCCUGUCACAGAUGGGUCCCAACACGCCUCUCUCUCUCUCUCUCUCUAUAUAUAUAUAUAUAUAUAAAUAUAGGUAAAUUGGUAAUCCGUUGUUCUCGACAGAGCAAAGAAAGAGAGGAGCUCGAGAAGACCGAGGAGACGGGAGACAGGAGGGAAAGAGGGAGGAAAAGGGGAGGCUUUUGCCGUCGAGAGGGCGCUCGGCUGCUUCUUGCGUUUCUCGUCCGUCUUUCCUAAGCCUCCAGAGAUAAGGGGGACGCGAGGUUUACCGUGUGGUGGUCGAGUUGAGGGUAAUGGGUCGGGUUCCUCUUGGUCUGACGGCUGCCGUUGUGGUCCUCGCCUUCGGCAUCGCACUGAUGCCCUCCGUCCGGGCCCAGGCUCCGGCGCCGGCGCCCGCCAGCGACGGUCAGCCCCUCUUCCCUCGAUCCUUCUCUGCGUCCCUCUACAUUUCUCUUCUUCUCUCCCCAGAUUCGUCCCUUUUUGUAGGAAAGACGUUGUUUAUCCGCAUUUUGCGACCCUUCGCCAUUCCGCUUCCUAUUUUGUGCGAAAGAUCUUCUAAUUCUAUAUGCUCGACGAUUGUUGGGAUUCACUAUGUGUCAAAGCUGCAAUCUUUUCGUGAGGACUACGAGAAUCUGAUGGAAAAUGGUUGGAACCUUCGUUUUUCCAUGAACCUUCAUGCUUCGCUUUUGCUGCAAUCUCAUCCAGAUCUGCUCCAUAUUUCCCAAGUAAAUACAGGAAUUUAAGGGGGAACAAAUCCUCGGCUAAUUUUGGUCGGCUACGGUUACGUUUUCUUGAAAACAUCCGUCUUUUGUCUCAUAAAAUGAUCUCCCAAAUCUUUUUUCUUCUUUAGUUUGGCAUUUAUGAUACAACUUCUUCCAUGUUCUUUGGAGGGUUAGCAAUAUAUUAGGAAAGAUCCUCUGAUAGCAUUCAGAAUUACUAAGUAGAAGUCUCAACCAUGGAGAAAGAUUGCCAGCUCCCUCCUUGUCAUUCUUUUAACACAUGCAUUUGUUUUGUUUCUUAUAUGUUCAUGUGCCUGUUUUGGGUAUUUCUGCAGGAGUAUCAAUUGACCAAGGGAUAGCUUACCUGCUGAUGCUGGUUGCCUUGGUGCUCACCUAUCUCAUCCACCCCUUGGAUGCAUCAUCUCCCUACAAGCUCUUCUGAGCAUUGAGUUGAUGAUGGUCUUAUUAGGAACAUGAAUGUAAGAGAAGGUUGAAAUGGUUGUUCGUUUUUGCUCGAGUAGUCUGCGAUGCAAUUUGGACGUUGUCUUUUGCUGGUUUUGGCUUCUGAGACUGUUCUCCUUGCCUGUUCUUCCGAGGGAAGCACCAAAGAGAAGUGUUGUUCCUGUGAGCUGUAGCAAAAUAAAGUCUUGUCUCAGCAUUGCAGUUGUUCUUAGUUGGAGCUGCUUCUUGGCCAAAAAUCUGCAACCAAAAUAGACAACAGUUUAUUUCAUCAAAGUUGGAGCUAAAUUUAGUCUCCAAUUUUUGUUCACUGAUACCCAUACAUUUUCCCUCCCCAAGACAUGUGGUUGUAUACCUUUUGAUUUCUAUGAAACAGGAAGAACUUUGGAAUCAGUGACAGAUGUGGUUGCAUAACUUUGUUUAUACAUGAAAACAGAUUAAAUUCAAGUGUUGGAUGGAUGAGAUUAAAGUGCAACCCUAAAUUAGAUCUUCCUGUUUGUUAGUUUUCUUACCCUCAAUGAACUUACCAACAUCUAAAUUGAUAGCAUCUUGUAGAUUUUUCUUAAGCUUUCUGUAUCUACUUAGAUUUUGAAGGGGUGAGUGCCAAUUCCAGUGAAGAAAGGCCUCACAGUUCUGCAUGUAAACAAUAAGCACCUCCACAAUCUCACUUCUGACCUAUGUAGACAAACAUUUGUUCUGUGACUACUACACUGCAAUCAUGUCUGCAGCUGAUCUGAAUUCAGAAACAUUUGAACCUUCCCAAGCAGCAGUCUACAACAUAACCACCCAUGAGAGAGUAUUUAUUACCUUUAACCAAGUGACAAACAUUAUUGUCAUCUAAGACAAGUCAAUAACAUCAAUAAUACUUAAAGAUUUAUCAGCAGUUCAGAAGCAGCAGCUGCUCAAGUGAAUAGCUAAAGAAACAGAACAUAUCAAGCUACUCGAUUGCCUUACUCAGGUCACAGGGAAUCCUGACCUACAGAAUACAUUUUCUGCACUGGUUUGAUCCUAGAAAAGGUGAAACAUCCUUUAUCCUAGAAAAGGUGAAACAUUGCCGACAGAGCUGAAGACUCUGAAGAGAAUGGUGAUACAAUAAUGAAUCACACUGCGAAGCAGUGUCACAAUAAGCUCCGCAUAGAGAAACCAAUGUCUCACUGGGGAGUUGAUGGGGCUUCUGUACCCUGAACUGGUGUUGGUGUUGAUCCCUCUGAUCUGGCUUCUGUACCCUGAACUGGUGUUGGUGUUGAUCCCUCUGAUCUGGCUUCUGUACCCUGAACUGGUGUCGGUGUUGAUCCCUCUGAUCUGGCUUCUGUUGAUGGCCGAUUCCCGCUAUCGAACCUUCUCACUCCCUCGAUCAUUCUCACCACUUGUGCCAUCUUAGGCCUCCGUUCAGGCACCCUCGCCACGCAGUUCAUGGCGAUCUGAAGCAUCUCCACCAUCUCCUCCUCGAUAUUAGGAUACCUCAUCAGCUCAACAUCAAACACCUCUGCAGUCCACUCUUCGCGGACGACAGACUGAACCCAUCGAACCAAGUGAAUUACCUCAUCACCACUACCCACUAUCGGAACGGGGGAUUUCCCUGUGAGCAAUUCGAGCAUAACAACUCCAAAGCUGUAGACAUCAGAGGCUUGUGAUGCUUUCUUUGUAUCAGUCACCUCCGGUGCACGGUAACCCACAGUGCGCGGCACAAGUGGAGCCAUUGGAUUGAUGAUGGAUGGCAAGCCAAGGUCGGAGACACAACCAUAUUGCUGGUUGUUGAGGAAAACGUUGGAGGAUUUGAUGUUGCCAUGGACAAGCUUCCCAUUGUUUUCCAUGUGAAUGUGUGCAAUUCCUCUUGCAGCUCCGAGUGCAAUCUUAAGCCUGGCUUCCCAGUCCAGAGGGGUCCUGUCCUGCCCUCUCUUCGCUGCAAGAUAUUGAAUAGGUAUAAUUUUAGCAUACAAAGUUUACACUAGAAUUAGGCAUCAUCUGCCAUGAAGAACAUAGUGAGUGAUUUGAAGCUUGUUAUUGAUGGAAAAUAUGAUUGCUUGAGUGAAGAAAAACACUUGGAAAUAAACUUCAUAAGUCUUGCAUUAUAUAAAAAAUGAUCAUACGACACAAAGGAGACUCUAUGCAUGUGAGGACUAGUGAUGUGAGGAGAUCUAGAGAGAGAUAUAUAAGAAUAAUUUACUAGAAAAAGACCCAUAUAACCGAUCCCAAAUAGAUGGGAAAUUAUAGCCUGUAUUUUCUGUUGUUGUCAGUGUUGUUGUUCUGUAUCAAGAGAAGAUACAAACAUUAAACUGAAAGCAAUAGAAAUCAUUGCAUGCAUGUCGUAUCUACUGAAUCAGAUUGUAGGUUCUGACUAUGCCAAAAUUGCUUUUCAUUUCCAACAUAUAGAUGAAAUUGCAAAAUAAGGUCAGCAUCAUUGAAAUAUCAAGUAUUGAUUUUCUUAUGGACAUUUGUUCUGUGAAUUUGAUUUGAGGUAACAAAAAACCAGUGCUUCUUGUACCAGUGGCUAUGUUUCAAAUUUUAGCAGCUAUUUGGAGAUGGCGAGGGCAGAUAAGAAAAAUGUAAUAUUUAACAUGGAAAUGUUAACUAUUACAAGCUAACAUAGCUAUGUCAUCCAACACUCAAAGAAUAAAGCAGAAAAGAAAAGAAAGGAAAAUAUGCUUGCAACAGAGAGCAGAAAGGAAAACAAGAGAAAUAGGUAGAAGGGCCAAACUACAGACAAUAUCUGCCUCAAGACAAGAAGAUAGGAGCUACUAAUUUGGCAUUAGAUGGAAUAUUAGGUUAGAAAAAGUUAAAUGGAGAUGCAAUCACAAAGUUCCAACACAAGUUCCACAAACAUUCAAUGUGAAACUUUAGCUACUCCUUUCUGGCAAGAAGUACCACUUUUUACAUCCAUACGUAUUGGUCAUCGUACCAAAUACAUAUAGUUGCGCAUAUUACUUAUUAGCCUUUACUACACCACAGAAAAUAACAGAUAUAAUAAUGUGCUGUUAUCUAACAAUACCCACUUUCAUGCUACCAUAGCAGUUAAUUGAAGUAUAAUGACUUGUCUUAAAAAAAGUUAAAACUCCAUCAAAGACUCUACAAAAAGGUUAAACAUAUGAAUCCUCUUCGAUGUCCCAUGUAAUUAGUCUCUAGUAGGCAUGGCCUUAGUAAUAACCAAGCAUAAAUCAAAAUCCAGUACCAGUUGACACUAGGCAAGCAAUUCAGCAAAAGGAGUCCUGCGAAUUAGCAAAAAUGUUGAAGGUUUGAAAGAUUGAGAAGAGAGAACGAUGGUACAAUGCAAACUAUUAAGUAACAAAAAGACACCAACAAAGCAUUGUGUCAUUUCUGAAGUACUUUCUCCUGUGCUGAUUAUUGAUCAAGUUCCUAUGACCAAUAAACUUGUGAAUUUAGUAGAUAUGUACACCUUCUCCUAUCCAUUUCAAGGAAAUGAACUGCGGACUCCAUGAGUCAUAUUUGCAAAAGAAUUUUAAAGGGAUAUUACAUCAGGUGUUACAACUCGAUCUUAUACUACAUCAUUAACCAGUUAUUGUUGCCUGCCAAGAUCCAACCACACCCUCUCUCUCUCUCUCUCUCUCUCUCUCUCUCUCUCUCUCUCUUAUUUCCCUUCCUUUCUCUGAUUGAAGUUGCCUAAGAAAAUAAGUUAGAAAGAAGCAGAGUUAAAAGCUCUGCUAAUUAUGCAUAGACUUUAUCUACUACCUCUCUCUCAAGGAAGUUCCAAAUCACCUCAUUCUAGCCUGCAAUUCCACCUUAAGGAAAAAAGGUCCAAUUGUAUGUCAACAUCAACUUAGAAUCAUUUUCAUAUGCCCUUCAAAUUAUAUGUGAAGCAUAACUUAUCCACUAUGAUUUAGUUGAUAAUUAAUCCUUCACUUCCUAUCAAUGAAAAAGGCAUAGGAAACCCUGAGUCAGGUAUACAUCACACUGCAGUUACCUAGGAGCCUUUCUAAGCUUUAGACCUAUAAGAUGAUAUCUUUCUACCAAACUAUAGGAACAGCAAGCAAAACACAGCCCACGAUGUGACAAUUCAACCCCUACUCCAACCACUAUAGCAUAACACAUCACUAUAAAAGCCAAAAAAAAGGUUAGAAAAUGACUUUUAUCAUUAAGUGGAGUGAUUGACCAUCUUUAAGAACUUGACUGUUGAUCUUAUUGCCCCAGGACAAGCCUUCAUAUUAGACUAAAUUUAGAACAAAAGAGAGAAAAGGAUAGGUAGUUGACUUAUCUAACAAAGACCGACUACCAUACAAGCAAGUAAAACACAUCAAGAACUUGAAACUUUGACAUGCAAUUCAGUGUCUUUAACAUUAUGAAAUAUGAGCAUUUAGGAGCAAUUUUUAUCGAAUUACACCUUAGAAAGAAACUAAUAGACCAACUAAACAGUGUCAAGAGAGUGAUGAGCAAUAUACCAUGUAACAAGGAAGAAACACUGCCCUGGUUGAAAUAGUCAUACACCAUCAGCUUCUCAUCUUUGGAGUAGUAAUACGCCCUCAGCUCCGCUACAUUCUCAUGCUUUAUCCUCCCUGCCACCUCCAUCUGCUGCUCAAACUCUUUCUUCACAACACUAGCUUCCUUCAGCCGCUUCACCGCCACCGUAGUCGCAUCCUCCAGCACUGCUUUGUACGUUGUCCCAAAUGUACCUUUCCCCAGAACCUCAGCAGAAGCCCUCAGCAGAUCCUCUAAAUCGAACGCAAAUGUGCAGCCCUCGAAGAACAUAAGUCGGUUGUUUGCGUCCUGAUUCCUGGUGACAGCCUUCUCCGGUGACCGGUCCCCCUUUGACCCCUUCCCGGAUAUUAAACUCUCAUCUUUCCUCUUUGAGUAGCAAUGAUAGAGGAACAGCGCAAGCAUCGCGAACAGCAAAGCACAUCCACCGACUAUAAUUCCAAGAAUUGCUGAUUCGCUCAGCUUCCUCGCAGUCAUUGAGCUGGGAACUUGGGGAGGAGAAGGCGGCAGUGGGGAUGGCAGUGAUGAUGGAGUUAAGGGGUAUAUGGGUGACAAAUCGUUGCCGGAAAAUGAUGAAUUUGGAAACCUUUGGAGGGAUUUGGGAAUUGUGCCCUCAAGAUGGUUAUUGGAGAGGUUGAGGAAUAGGAGGUUUGGGAGCUCGAGAUCUGGAAUUUGCCCCGAGAACGAGUUGUUAGAGAGGUUCAGAGCGGUGAGCUGAGUCAAAUUGGAGAUGGUAGUUGGGAUGCUCCCGUUGAAGUCGUUGAAGGAGACAUCGAGGGCGGUGAGAUUCUUCCAAGGCGAGAAAUCCGACGGCAGAGGGCCGGAGAAGCUGUUGAGCUGGAGGUGGAGGCCGGUGAGUGCGGUAAGGUUGGCGAAGUCAGCCGGGAAUGGGCCGGUGAGGCUGUUGGACCGGAUGCUCAGGAUCUGGAGGGCAGAGAGGCGGCUGAGGGUGUUGGGCGGGAUCGGGCCGCUGAAUCCGAUCCCGGGGAGGCGGACGGUGAUGACGCGGGAGCCGUCGGCGCUGCAGGUAACGCCGUACCAGCGGCUGCAGACGUCGGUGAUCGGGCUCCAAUCGAGGCUGCGGGUGUGCACGGUGGAGGCGAGGAAAUCAAGCAACGCUUGCUUGUCCUCCACCAGGCUGCCGGCGCCGCCUCCGACGUAGCAAAUCGCCGACCAGAGGGCCAAAACAGACAACAACACUCGAUUCGAACUCAUUUCUUGCCCUAGAUUCAGAAAUCCCCUACACAGUACGAUAAAAAUCUCAACUUCUUUGCAUUCUUCUCUUCAGAACCCCAAAUCUUCCACCAAAACCACGAAAAUAUACAAAGAAUAAUCAAGGUUCAUCUGUCAUCACCAGUGUGCCAGUUAAACAAGGUACAAAGAACCUAAAGAUUUUGUCCUCGAUCUCAGCAAGAAACCCAACCAAGCUAGAUAUUCGUGUGGAGAUCUAGCCGUGAAAGAAGCGCGAACGUAGCAGAGACGGAAGCAGGACUUUGCUUGAAAGAAGGGCGCGCCGGAAGAGCUAUCUCACGAUGAGAAGCAUCGAAUGCAAUCAUUCACUCAUCCAACUGCAAUCACCAAUGAAGGGCAGAGAGAGAGAGAGAAAAGGAAGCGCUAAUGUCGAGCAUUAUCAUGCAUAAAAAAAUGAGGUAAGAGAGACAAGCAAGUUAGUCGCCAUGUGAGAGCAGAGCAAAACGCGGAAGAGAGAGAGAGAGAGAGAGAAGGGAGAAGGAAGCCUUGGGAGAGUUCCUUAGAGAUCGGCAGUUGCCGAGCUCGAGAAGCAAGUGGGGAGCAGCGACGGGAUCGAGCUCUUCGUUUCGUUUGUCUCCACGUUGAACAUGGCGGUAAAAAUGGGAGGGAGCGGGAGAAGUGGGGCGGCGCGGGUUGGUGGCUUCGUCAUAGCACUUUUACAUAUUUAUCCUUCCAAAGGACAAAAAAUAGCAUACUUGCCCUUAUAAAUUAUAUAUUAUCAGUAUAAUAAUUAUAUAUUAUCAGUAUAUUAGAUUUGAGAUUUUAUAAUUUAUAAAUAAUUGUGUAAAAUAUUAUCGUUAAUUAUAUAAUAUAGUAAACUUUAAAAAAAUAAGAUUUAUAAAUAAAAAUUUAAAUACUAUAAAUUUAAUUAAGAAUAUGAUUUCUCGCCUUCUCUUCUCCUAUUUUGACUUGUCUUCUCCUAAGAGAUGUCUUUGUGGAACAUUUAGGAAAUAAGCUUUCGUUGAAAUGAGUACUCGAUUUCUCGCUUCCUCUUCUUCUACUUUGACUUGUCUUCCUUCUCAGGUAUGCCUUUGUAGAACAUUUAGGAAUUCACCUUGCCUCAAUUUUAUGCACAGAGACGACAGCUUCUCUCUGCACAAUUUAUCUCAUAGGACCCAACAGGCUCACAACAGCAGGAGAAAUCUUUAAAUGCUGGUGAGUUGUUUGGUCGCUCAUGGAGGUGACGGCACAGAGGAGAUUGGGGAAUGGGGGAUUCUGCUGUCUCUUCUGCUGCUUUCCAUGCUCUUGUCUUCUUCUUCCUUGACAUAUCAAACUCCGGAUUGAGAGAAGGAAGAGGAAGACAGGAGGCCUCGGCCACAGCUCGAUAUGACUUUAUUGUUGACCCCAUUGUUGUACUGCAACUAUGACAGAAAGAUAACUAUCACUGUGAUCAGUCAUGGAGAGACUCCAAGGUUGCACUUACCUUGGCCAUGGCAUCAACAGGAAGAACUGAUAAAAGACAAGUAGCAGACCUUCAUAAGUAUUUCAAGGAUCACGACAGGUUCCUAAUCCAACCAAACCUAACAUUGACUGAGAUUUGAAGGUUCAUGCAUAAGAUGAUACAAGAAAUAUUGUAUGCUAUAGAUAUCAGCAUAUAUCUUAUAUUGUUAAAGAGACAAGUAGUAGACUAAUAUAUGGUCAACUGUUGCAGUAUUUAACCUUGUCAUUCUAUUCCAAUUAAGCCUGUACUUACUGAAGAUGCUAAACAUCAGCAGAUUUGUAAGUUAGGAGGAGAAAGGUUAUCGCAUGGUAAGUCUCAAGGUCGUGUACUUGAAUCUCCAUGCUCAUGUCCCCAGCAUUUGGCAUUGGAGACCCAAGAGCAAGUGUUGUGAUGAUGCAGUGAAGGUGGUGGAGACUGCUUGAUGGUCAAUUCAACUCUCAAGUGAAGGGUGUCAUCGAUGAAGAAGAGGGUGUCCUCUGCCUAAACUACAUCGAAUGACUUUGAUGUUGUAGAGCCAACUUGAUUCGGAAUCAUCUUUAUUGUUGGGAACGAGUAGGGAUAAAAUAAGUGAGAUAUAUCCGUCUCCUUCACCAUUUGUCGUAUGCAAAUCGAAGCUACUGGCGGACGAUAGCGAGUCCCUGGAGACCGAGGAGACACCAGCGGUGGUGCCGGAGCCCGUCGAAGAGCAGUUAGCUGCUUCGACCGCGACCGAGGCCGCCAAAGGGGAAGACGUCUUCGCGGUCGUACUGGUGAGUCAAAGAUUGCAUCUUGAUUAGUGUUCUUUCUCCGGAGAGUCCAUGCUUUCUUGGAGAUUUUUCUUCCUUGGCAUCAUUAUCAACUUCGUUUCGAGUUUCUGAUCUUUUUGGGUAAAAUGUUCAGGUCGGGUCGCGGCAGUACAUUGUGUUUCCUGGACGGUUCAUCUACACCCAGAGGUUGAAAGGUGCCAAUGUUGAUGAUAAGGUUACACGUUUAUUUAUUGGUGAUUGUUGUCCUUUUCAAGUUUUGUGCACGCAACUUUUGUUCAUAAUUUCAGGAUUUUGAUGAAUAAUAUUACUGUAUGAAAACUCUUAGCUGAUUUCUCACUUGGUUUUCUAAUUUUUCUCUCUUUUGCUGACCGUCAAAUGUGCUUCACAUUUGAUCCAUAUUGGAAUCUAUUGGGAAGAAACAUGUUAAAACGGAAUAUUCUUUUUCCUCUUUGUUUAUUAAAAUGGGUUCCUCGUCAAAAUAUCAACUUGGUAUCCAAAUAAAAAUAUCAACCAGCACAGGAUAAACAAUAGAGCAAAAAUCAAUCAGACCAAAUCUUUUUAACGUGAAAAACCCAAUGUGAGAAAAAUCACGGGACCGUACUCCACCUCAAACUUCCACUAUCAAUAAUACUGAUAACAGGUUUACAGUAGGUCUUCUCUAGAAUAACUAGAGGAUCAGAAUAACAUCAAGAACGUAGAUCUUGGCUCAAGAAUAGCAUAUUUUCAUCAUAUACGUUGAUCUCCUCCAAAGAGAAUUCUAGGUCUCAUAAAGUGAAUAUCACAGGAAAGUACAUUAGAGAGGGUAAACUGUAGAUCAACAUCGUUAGGAUUGUAGAGUUUGUUGCAAUGAUUCUCCACAUAAAAUUUGGGUCGAAACUGACAACGUUGGGCCACCGAUCGUCAAGCAAAAAACUAAGAAACCUUACUUUCUCUCUCCUCUUUUUUCUACACGCCGCCGCACGCUUUUUCUGCAUGCGCACACACUGCACUCUCACCAAUUUUGCUCUUUCUCUGUUGAUUUCUUUGAUUUGGGCUCAUGACCCAAAUUUGUAUGGCCUCCAAGUCCACAUAUGGGCUGAAUCUGUACGCAGAUUAUUCUAAACAAAGUGCUAUUUGGUUGGCACUCGAACAAAAGGCAUACAUAGGAGAACCAGCUGUAUCUAAUGCUGCUGUACAUGCUGUGGUCGAGGAACAGAUUUUCUUUUUGUUUUUCUCAGCAGCUAAUGGAACUUCAUAUCAACUGCUUUAACUUGCAUCUUCUCCUCUGUUUCUCGUGUAGGGAUUAGAUCGUAAAGUUAUCGUUUUCAAGUACAAGAAGAAGAAGAAGAACCAUCGUGGCACCAUUGAUCAUCGACAGAUACCUCAUUGUACAAAAAAUGUUUAUCUGAAUCAUGAAUCAGAAAUCAUCCACUGCCACUGUAAUAUUUGUCAAGAUUGAUGAAAUUUUAACGAUCAUGAGUGCAGCCAAGAACACGGAUAACGAUCACCGGCAUAACCAGACAUCAAGACUUCCCGGCUGAAACUAUGCCCGAGACAUCACCUGCUUAAGGUGAAUGGGAGAAAGGGAAGCAAGCCUGUAAUCUAAAGCAGAUUUCUUAAAGCAGGAUGCUAAAACUUGCUGCCAUCUGUAGUUAUUUGGGGGCUCUUCCUCAGUUGCAGAUGUCUUUGUAGAUUGAAUUGCUUGUUGUUGUAGCCAUAAAAUGACCUGAACUUUCCUUUCUCCCAUUUCCUCUGCUAUUGAAGCUGCAUAUCUGAUCGAUAAUGCUUCUGCAAACAGAGGGCUGUUCUUCAAUUUAUUUUUAAUGGAAAAUUUCAAUAUUCAUCAGAUAUAUUGGCAAGUUGGCAUCCAUAGAUUACGUAUUUAAAGCUGAUGUACAUCUUGUCAUCGACAAUUAAGCAUUUUGAUUAGAACUUUUAAGAAUGGAUUCUUGGCAAACCAUGGAGAAUGUAUCUGUCAAAUCGAUUUCUGCAUUCAAAAGCUUCUUUUGAUAGUUGUGCAUUCAAACCACACUAUCAAAUCCCCGUGUGAGCUUUACCUUUGUUAGCUGUCACCACGGCACUCAUGCGUCUCUAUUUCCUUCUGUCAUUUACUCGCACCCUAUGAGUUGUUAUCAUGUUGCAAAGUUUCUUCCAUUACAGACCCUUCUUUUCUUUCUUCUCCCACAUUCUAAGCUCCAUUUCUUCAGGGGAUUUAUGGUGUCAAACUCUGAUAUUUCAGCCAAAACAUCCAUAACUUUCUACUCAAGAAAUCACACACUCAAAAUCCUACUUCCAAGUGUGCCACUGCUGCUACUUGCGUCUUUAAUCUUCUACUAUACUUUAAUCUAUCGCAGCCCUUGCAUGGCAAGCUCUGGAGAGUUUGGUUUGACUGUCACCUGCUCCCUGCGUAAUCCACGCUAGGUUUGCAGCAAGACAUUCGAAGGUCAACGAGUACGUGUACUAAUCAAGUCCUUUUCACAGGCUUGUUGGUUUGUGAUUUAGACUGCCGAUGCUAAUGCUGCUCGUCUGUGUCGUUGAGCUGUAAUAUGUGACCUGGUUCCUUUCUUGUUCUUAUCUGUGCCACAAUCCAAGAUUUAAUUUCCCUGUGUAAAGACGUAUGACGAAUGAUAAUUCCAUGUUCAGGCGAUUCUUACAAAUCAAUCCACAUUUAUAUGAAAUGGGAAGUGCCGAACGGUUAUGAAUCAUCCGCGCAAGGUUGCACUGAGCUAUCAGAUUCCAUAAAUGUUGAAAGAAACCUGAACUAGUGUUCUUCUUCUUCCUCCUCCAUCAAUGGCGAUGCCUGAUGAAACAUGGGCGCUGUCGAACGGCGACGAGUCUUCCACGCAACGCAGCACUGAGCUAUCAGAUGCGUAAGUGUCGAACCAACCCAGAAUAAAGAAAGAAGAAGAAGAAAAAGAUGGAGGUCAUCAUUCGUACUCAUUCCUGUGCGUGGUGGAUGUGUAUUGAAGACAGCAUAGAAUUAGUUCAUAGAGCACAUGGGGAGGCCAUUAUUCUGGAGCGGUAGGGAGUGUCCUUCCUUCCACCUACCUGGAAGAGCCUUGUCCUGUACUGCCUCUCUCCUUAUAAAUGGGAGACAGAGAGGAAACGAUGCUUCGAGCACACACACCGGCCAUUAUUGCAGUUUCUGCAGCAGGUCGGUGACGAAAGCUGGUGAGUUACUGCAAGGCUGAACGAUCUCAAGCAGGAAGAAGAGUUUCCAUUUCUCUUCCUCCUUUGUACGCUUUUGUAUUCUCUGUUCUUCUCCUCUUUUGUUUGUCUGCUGCUUUUGUUAUGCAUGUCAUUCUUCUCCUUCUUUGAGUAAUUCCAUGGAACUCUUACUUUAACGAGAUUGGAUGCCACAUUACUUUGAUUGCCACACAACCUUCAGAUCUGAUGUAAAUGUCUUCAUUUUUGGAGGGGACUGCUUAAUUCGUGAUGCUUGAUGACUUCCAAGACGAAGAACAUUUAGUACAUUACUCUUGCAGAUUUCUUUCAGCUAUAUCAAUUCAAUUAUGAUGAUCCAUAGGAAAUUAAAUGGCUCACGUAUUGUGAUCGUGGAAAAACAAGAGCUUCAUGAGAAAAAUAAUGCUAAAAAUUUAAAUAAAAUUAAAAUAUGGUCUUUUUUAUGGACCAAGAAAUGGUUUUUAAGUAAUUUGUGAGCCGCGUGUCGAUGAGACAGUUGGCACGGCGACGCGCAUCCCACCUACAGUUGGCACGGCGGCGGCGUGUCUCUGUUCAAGAUGGGAAGGGAACACAAAGGUGGAAAGAUUCUCUGGAAACCGUGUCCCGGCGCUGGUGUUCGAGCCGCUUCUCUUCGCGAACUAAGCGCCGGAGUUAGGGGUAGGUUCGUCCUGGCCUCGAUCGCGGGAAUCCGAUCGAACGCGGAAGAUCCGCGGGCGAGAGCCGGAUUUAGGAAGCAUUUAUGCUCGAUGGAAAGCAAACGAAGGCUUGCUUUCCAUAGCGAAAAGGGCACAGGAAUGGCAAUGUACCGGAACUUCGGCCAAGUUCCUCGAAAAGCGUGCUCUUUUCCGGAGCCAGGGAAGCCCACCCCUCUCCGUGGCUGCGUGCCGUCGAAGAUCAUCGCCUUCUCGGUGCCAAUAGAUAAGAGGUAGAAGAGGUGGUCUCUUCUCGAACCGAAAGUUGGUUCUUUGGAAGUAAAAAAGAUCCACUUUUUACCAUAGGUAUGCAGAUUCUUAAACUCUUUUUGCUCUUGCAAUGUGGUAGCUUUCUUUCAAUGAUACGAGCUAAAAAAUUUCUUGGUGAGUGAUCUACUUUCGAUUCGUUUUUCUCAUUUUUGUACCGCUUUCGCUCCCUUGUAAUAAGGAUGGUGGACUCAUUGAAUUAAUCCUCUUGUUUAUUUACCAUGGAAGAACUCUGUGUCUGUUUUUGUUCAUGAGCAAAAUUAUCCUUCGACGGUGUGAACUUAGGUUAGAGUGUUAUGGCUCAGCAAACCGAGUGUCACUAAUUUAAAUUAUCCUCGACAUUUGCAUUAUCAGAACACGUCGUAGUUGAAGAAUCUCAAUUUCCAUUGUAUUAGUUCCAACUAUUUAUAAAAGGAAUUCGGGAAUCUUCUUCAGUUUUUGUGGUUGGAAGGACAUGGCAUGCUGUGUGAUCUACAGAACUGCAUGAAGGACAUGGCAUGCUGGAUGAGUAGAGUUUCUUUCAAGAGGCCAAGGGGGGCGCUCCCAUUUUGAGGAAUCUUCUUCAACCUUUUGUUGAUCCUUACUGAUCCUACUCUGCUAGCUUGAACUUUGUUUCAAAAUUCGUUUAGUCCACCUACCUUACUGGAACAUCAGAUCUAGGGUUACUUGAGAAAUCAUCAGCUGGAAGAGUAAUCAUCACCCUUGUUUCUUUUUGUUGUUUUUAUCAGUACAUGUGAUAAAAAUAGUAAUUUUCUAUGCUUAGUAUUUUUUAGCAUAUUUUUCUUGUCAUUCUUAUGCAUUUGAAGUCGUCGUUCUAGAUGGUCUUUAGGUCAAUUGGAUAAUAUAUUCUUGUUAAUUCAAAUGUUUCCAGCAACAGUUUCUUUCAUUAGAAUCAUUAUUAAAUCGGUCACAUAAAAUUUAUACUACUGAUCAACCAUCUGUUUCGUCUUUUUCUUCUUCAUAGGAAAGAUUUCACAAUAGAUUUUACAUGCUUAUAUAUGUUCCUUUUCUGUCUUAGGUUUAAAGGUUCAGAUGGAUGGCAAAGAGUACCAGGGUUCAUCGAGUCAGGGUUCCCCUGACCCUGAGAGUUGUCCAUCUCUUUUCAGGUACAUAACAUACAAAUCAGUUGCUGGUUUUGAUGUUACUCCCAGCCCUCGAGGAGAUCCCGCAUUUGCUGAAGUAAGUCAUGAUAUUUAAUGACUAAUCGAUUUUUAAUUCUCCUUGGCCAACUUAUGUGAUGUUCUACUGGAUGCUAAAGUUCUUGCAAGACACUUUUUUUUCCCCCUUCUGUUUCGAAGCAUCCACCGAGAACACAAGAUGGUUCGGACAAACUAGCUGAUACCACUGACCAGUUUCUGCGGAUGUAGGUUCUGACCUAUUUGCCUUCAUAUGAAUUUCAUGGAAUUAAUUUCACCAUUGGUUGCUAAACCUUGGGGCAAAUUCGAUUGGGUAUCUAAACUUUCAGUUUGUGCCUAUAUAAUGUCUCAAUAAAAUCCUACCAUAAGCUUCCAAAAAACAAACCUUUAUGAAAAGCUGAUUUCGCUACACAAUAAGGCUUUACUUUCUAGUUUGACAUACAUAUCAGCAAGAGAAAAAAAAUUAUGAUAUGCCCAAUAUGUUCCGGAAAAAGAAAUUGUCGCAUUGAACUUUGCCCACUUUGAUUUACUAGCAUAUAUGAGCACACCGGGUAACAUUUCUUGUUGACAUUUAUGAUAGUUUAGCAAGAUCACUGUGCAAUCAGGCUGACUUUUGGCAAGAUUUAUGUCUCCAGUUCAAAUUUGUCUCGAAGUUCAACUUCACCCUUUGUCAUGUAAAUGUUUUGUGUUCAAAUUGUUUGUAACUUUAAGUAAUAUCGUUUGCUAUGAAAUAACUAAUGUAGCUGUUUCCUUUUCUAUUUCAGGUGCCAGAAGCUACUGAUGAUGAUAUUAAGGCCAAAUCGCUUUGCACGCCAUCACUAAGUUUGCCAAUUGAAAUGAUUGGACCUCAUCAUGCGCGUUCUAUUUCAAUCAGCAUGCCUACAACACCUUCUGCAUUUCAUGUAGAACAUUCAAAAGCAGUCCUAGAAAACGACAAUGGUGUAUCAUAUGCUACUGGUGGGCAGACAUAUCAUCCAAUUGGUGCUACUGCUAGCUUGCUUCAACAAAAACAAGCAAAGUUCCAUUCUCAACCUAUACCGGUCGGAAAUUCCCACACUAACAUGCCUCCAGAUAUGCAGUCGGAUCAUUUGGUGCGCCUGCAGCAAAUGCCAAGGAACUGUAGAUUCAAGGACAAACGCUAUGACUCCUUCAAGACAUGGUCUGGCAAACUUGAAAGGCAGAUAUCUACCCUACGUGGAAAGCCACAGGAACCGGAGGAGGUUAAUGACUCGAAGAACACUAAACCAGAGGCCGUGCCAGCAGACCGCUUCUUUGAUGCCUUAGAGGGGCCUGAACUGGACAAGUUAAAGGUACUGUUUUGAACUCUAUUAUUUAUGAGAAUUAGUAAUUUGCUUACUCUCAAUAUUCGUAAGAGCCACAUACAAUUAACUGAUGUAUAAUGUCUAUUCUUGCACCUAAAUAGCACUAAGAUAAGAAUUGCAUACCAUCAACUUUUUGCAGGCGUCAGAAGAGUUGGUUCUUCCUGAAGACAAGAAAUGGCCUUUUCUUCUUCGCUUCCCUGUGUCCUCCUUCGGUAUGUGCCUUGGUGUCAGCAGCCAAGCUAUCCUGUGGAAGACGCUAGCUACAUCACCAUCCACAUCAUUUCUGCAUAUAAGCCCGACCGUAAAUCUCGUUCUCUGGUGCAUCUCACUUGCAUUGAUGGGCAUUGUGUCCGCCAUCUACGUGCUGAAGAUCAUAUUUUACUUUGAAGCAAUCCGCCGGGAGUACUAUCACCCCAUCCGAGUCAACUUCUUCUUUGCUCCAUGGAUAGCCUGCCUCUUCUUAGCAAUCGGUAUGCCACCCUCGGUUGCCGUCAAUCUGCAUGCCGCUCUAUGGUACGUGCUGAUGGCUCCAAUUUUCUUCCUCGAACUAAAAAUCUACGGCCAGUGGAUGUCGGGAGGGCAACGCAGGUUAUCAAAAGUAGCAAAUCCUUCGAAUCACCUAUCAAUUGUGGGCAACUUUGUGGGGGCUUUGCUUGGUGCAUCUAUGGGGCUCAAAGAAGGCCCCAUUUUCUUCUAUGCCGUCGGGCUGGCUCACUACACUGUACUCUUUGUGACCUUAUACCAGAGGCUUCCAACAAACGAAACACUUCCGAGGGAUCUUCAUCCAGUUUUCUUUCUGUUUGUGGCUGCUCCUUCUGUUGCUUGCAUGGCGUGGGCCAAAAUAACCGGAGACUUCGGUUAUGGCUCGAAGAUUGCCUACUUCAUCGCGCUGUUCCUCUAUGCUUCUCUUGUGAGUUCCAUGCACCCUAUAGACUUGUUUUUCAUUUAAUGAUUAGUAUUCCAGUGUGUGUUCUCAUCAUUGUUUUGCUUUGUGAUUUCUAACCAUUGUUUGCAUCUCCACUUGCAGGCUGUACGUAUUAAUUUCUUCCGGGGAUUCAGGUAUCAUGAUUUGUUCUUCAGAUUAGUUCAUCUUCUUGCUAGUUUCUGCUCCCAAUCUCACUCUUCUUCUUCUGUUUGACGUUGCAGGUUCUCGCUAGCUUGGUGGGCUUACACUUUUCCGAUGACCGCAGCGGCCAUCGCAACCAUUAGGUAUUCGACGGAAGUUAAGAACGUAUUCACUCAGACAUUAUCUGUUGCACUCUCUGUUAUCUCGACCAUUACAGUAGCAGCUCUGCUUUUUUCGACAGUCGUUCAUGCCUUUGUCCUCCGUGACCUUUUUGCAAAUGACAUCGCCAUCGCCAUCUCCGGUAAGAUAGCGAAAUCGAGUACGAAAGACGACGCCCGUAUAAUAGCAUCGAGCUCAAAUACCGCAGAUGUUGAAGCACCUGUUGACGGCCUCCUGUUGCCCGUUUUAUCCGGUGAACCAAUGAUCUGAAUCACAUCAUGGAACAGAGUUUGGAGGAUCAUAGUAAGUCAGCUACCUUAUGGAUUCUUGGAGACGAAGAAUGCACUUUUCCUACAGUGAAGAAGAUGGGCAUGAAUGGAGUUCUCAUCAAGUGAUGUUUUGGUAGAUGGCAAUCAUGAUGGACAGGCCACACUCAUUCAAUUAGAUUGAAGGAAAAAGUUGACAGCUUUAUAGACAAGAUAAAGAAAGCGUUCUGACCGAACCACAGAUAAAUCAUUGACAGUACUAACAAUGCCCAUGAUCUAGUGCUUCUUGGCCUUCAGUGGACCUCGACGGAUCAUACUGAGAACCUUGGCAUCAAACACCGCAUACUGCUGCUUGAUUCGUGCUAUUGCCUUCUCUGCAGAUGCAUCGAUCUUGUCCUCAUACUUCUCGUAAAGAACAGGCACUGUGAGCAGUGUCAUGAAUGCUGGUUUUCCAGGAGAGAAAAACAACAACAAUCAUUCAGGCAGCGAGGAAAACAAAGCAAAAUGGAAAGCUCAAAAAGAACUUACUUAUGUAGACCAAGGUCAAGAAAUUGACAGAGCUUCCUACAGUCGAUAGAAUCCAGAGCACAGCAAUAACCUAAAAAGAACUUGAAUGAUGUAUUACUGUAGAACAAACGUAAAACUAUGAAGAUAUGAUGAUUUUGCUAUCUGAGGAAGGCAUCAUUUAAGAUCAACGCACAGCUAGAAACUUCUUUAGGUCCUGUCCCAGUGCGAUCUCCCUAAGAACAGCAGAGGCCCCGUUCAUCUCAUUCCUCAUAUUGAGUGCAACUUUUAUGGCUAGUUCUUCCGAAAUGUUCACCUCUGGAAUGCGUGGCGGAGAUCUGAAAUGAAAACACGCAACCAUUAGCUCUAUUCGAAGUGGAUGAUCUAAGAACAGUAGAGACCCUACUUGUUAAUCAAGGUGCAAGCUUUGGACCAUAAGAAGAGGACAAGUAAAGAGAGCAUAAGGCCUUGGCAGAUCAAAGUGAGAAGAUGGUAGCCGACUAACUCGAACAGAGCCCAGAUAGCGGUAGCACCGCUGAGCACUCCAGCUGAGAUCUUCUUGUUCCUCCAUAGCAUAACAUCAGCAGCUAAAAUGAAGCAAACUGUAAAUUUAGGGCCUAAUCCAACAGUAAAUUUAGGUUCUUGAUUUCCUUGAUCACAUAAAAGUUCCUUUUGUGAUAAGUUCUUUUAUUCUUUAUACAAAAAUGUGUAUUUUGAUGAACAAACCGAUCUAGAGUUCAUAAGAAUCUCGGCAAAAAUAGAAUUUUUUUUACCUAAAAACAAUGAAAACAUUAAAAGGAGGGAGACAUUCACUGGCCUUGAAGGCACGAUUAUAAUAACGCAAACUGGGGAUUAGAGCCAUAGAACAGAGAAGAGAGUCAUUGGCAUCUCGCCAUUUUUCCUUCACCAUCACCAAAAAUUCCAAAACCCCAAGAACUUGCCAGAAGUAGAAAUUCAACCCUUACAACAGUGACAACGAGAACACUAGCCCGGUCCGAAGGAAGUAAAGCAUGGAUAAAAAAUCAUGUUAGAUCCGGUGUACACGGUUUCAAACGAAGUAGCCAAUAAAAAUUCGAUCUUUUUUCCGGAAAGAAAGCAAAAAUCGACCCAAAAAUUUCAAGAACAAAGUGGUUUAACGGAUCAAGAAGAGAAAAAGGGAGCUUCUUCGGUCGUUACUUCUGCCGCUGCCGAGGACUUGGUGGACAGGCCUCUCCCGGCUGAAGAGGCGGUAGGGUGUGACCUUGACGGAAGGUGAUGCCCCGGGCUUCUCCGCAUCGGAACCAGACGACAAGGAGGAUGAGUCCUCGUGGCCUCGGGGCUUCUGCUGGUUCUCCUCCGUCAGGGCCGACUCCUCCGAGUGCUCCGCCAUGGCCAACGCGUAAGUACCCCAACACCCACUCCAAGUGCUCGGCUUUCGCUCCUUUCUGCUCUGUGCUUCGCCGUGGUAAUUUGAAGACGGGGCCUAGGGCGGCGGAGCGAUGAGAGGCCGUCGGAUGUUGACACGUGGGAGGAGCAGCAGCGCCCCGCUCCAAGUGCGUGGCGCAGCGAAGGCAACGGUGUCCGAAGGGGGGGGGGGG
rnacentral:lncRNA from 1 species